rnacentral:lncRNA from 1 species
UCUAGUUUCAUUAAUAAACAUUAACCCCCACCAAGUCAUUAUUUAGGUGAAUGAAUUUACAAAUAGAAUCCCAACCAGUAAAGGAAAUUUAAGUCCUCUGGUUGUGAUUUAUGUGUUUUCCAUCAAUCAGGUAAAUGGAGAACAAACACCACAAAAACUAAUUGUCCUCAUGUUGUCUAGACCUUUGCCAUCCACUGACUUCCUGGAAAAGGGAGAUCUAUUGUUGAUUUAUAUUAUAGAAAUGUGGGCAUUGUAGUUAAGUCCUUUGGUUGAGAGUUUUGCAUCUCAUGGAUUUGUCAUCAACCAGACAACUGAAGAAUAAACAUCUCAAGCGUAAAUGACCUUGUAGUGACUAGAUCUCUGCCCAUAAACUGAAUGAUGAAAAAGCAGCAUAAGUACUUCAGUGAACUUACCUAUAGAUGUAAAUGAAAGCUUCUGGUACCAUUCCAGCAAUUGAUCCCCAUAAAUAGGGCCAAAAUGUCAUACUUGUUACUACUAUUGCAUAGUUGAAAAUUGUGUAUGGAAAUGGUGAAACCCUAAAAAGUGCAACCACUCGAAAUUGAUGGAACCAGCUUCCUUCUCCAGCCAGUCUAAUCAUNNNNNNNNNNNNNNNNNNNNNNNNNNNNNNNNNNNNNNNNNNNNNNNNNNNNNNNNNNNNNNNNNNNNNNNNNNNNNNNNNNNNNNNNNNNNNNNNNNNNGAGAUGACGAAUAUGAAAACAGAAGAGCAGCCAACGAAAAGCAAGUUCUUAAUCACUUACAUGGAUUCGAUCACGGAAUAGGAGUCCAAUCAAAUAAGGCAGGACCAUUCCUAUGGUUGUUCCAAUCAUGAUUAUAACAAACCCAAGACCAUAUCCAAAAAUCAUUCCAGCCAACCACAUUGAGGGGCCAGAAGGGAUUAGCAGCACAGGAAACAAUGCCAGAGAAGCAACAAGCACAAAAGCGAGAACUGGACGGCCAAAAGCAGUAGCUUCCCAAUGCAUGAUUGGGAGGAGAAUCUACAGUAAAAUUGAUAAAGCGUCAAGAUCAAAAUCUAGCUAAGGUGUAGUAGCACCUUGCAUAUUACUUUCAUAAUAAAAUGUUUCAGGUAUAAUAAUUGAGAAAAGAUGGGGAUGAGUUAGAAUAUACGGCGGUCAUAUAAUUUUCAGUCUUAACCAAUCCAUACCUCAUAUUUGAAGGGGGUGCUUAUUGAGGUAUGGAGAGAGCUAAAACUUGUUGACCCAUCAUUUUAAUAGGACAUAAAUGAAAUAAAGCAAUUGCACAUUGAAAUAAGUAAAUGAAGGAUAGGAAAUACCUUCUCAAACAUAAAUGGUGCUCCCCAUUUCAAGAAAAUGAGAAGAAAUAUUACAUUAACAACACAAAAAAUUAAAGCUUUGAGCCACCAGAUGAAUGAUUUAAUCCUUGUUUCUGCUUGAGGUUGUAAAAUGUCAGCUUCAGAUAACCUUGCUUCAUUGGAUAUGACCAGCCUGACAUAUUCACUCUCUUCCCUCACAUUAUGGCCAGAGUUCGUAUUGAGUUUAUCCGUCUCCUCAGAUGAGUUGGGCAUCUUAAUUGAAACCCCAGAAAGCUAUAAAUGUAACUGAAAUAUUGUAUAAGCAUCAAUGGAGGCAAGCAUAGCAAUGAGUAUCAGGCAAAUAUAAAAUACACAUUUGACUGAAUAUAGAUCAUUGAUGAAUUAUAUUCAGAGUGUCAAACUUUUAACCAUUAGAUAUGUGUGAAAAAUAAAUUGAAAAACCACCUGUAUCUCUCAGAAACAAAGUGUAACUUUCUGCUCAGUGAGUCAUAUAGCACUAAUUGUAAGCUGGCCUAACCAGUCCAAUUAAUCAACAGAACUGUACUUUCAAUGAUUUUGGGCAAUUGCUUCAAGAGAAAGAACAAUUUUUAACAUGCAAGAUAUGUAAGAAAACUUAGUAGGAACCUAAAUGAAUUGUACACAAGAGAUGGAGUUCACCUUUUUCUGUUCACAGGAUCAGCUAGCACCCGUGACAGACAGGUUUCACUGGUGCUAUUGAUCAAAACAACUAGAUUUUCAGGGUAUACUGUCUGGAACCAAAUCCAGAGGAAUGUAAUUCAAUUGAUGGAAUUGAAAUGAAAAUAAUUGAAAUUAUUUCUACUGUGUUUGGUAUUUAGAGGGAAUCAAAACAGAAAAUAUUCACUUCCCUUGUUUGGCAUUGUAAAACAAAGGCAAAAGAAAUAAAUAUUUUUGCUAUUAUACCUACUUCAACAUAAACAUAAAGGACUAACAUAUUAAUCAUCUAUUAGUAAAUCAAAGUAAUGAAGUAAAUUCUUAUAAAACAAUCACAACAAGAAUAGUCGAUAGCACCAGUUAAUAUAGUUGACUCCUGCUCUUUCCCUUGUUCGCUCUUUCCUGUUUUUUGUUUGGUACACUUCGUUUUUUUUUUUUUUUUUUUUUUUUGAUAGACAAGGCAUGCAUUAAGAAACGUCAAAAAGAGGAAGCACACCCUACAUAUACAGGCAGUAUACACAGAAAUGGCAAAGCAAGCACCAAUUAAGACAGAAAAAACCUUAAACAAGAAGAGCAUCAAAGAAAUUCAAAAUCGAGGGGUUUUCCAAUUCCAAAAACUGCUAAUACCACUCUAAAAGCAACCAGAUAAAGAGAUCCUUCAAAAUUUAAUCUGACAAUUCUUCAUCUUCGAAAGUCUUUUGGUUGGACUCUCUCCAAAUACACCAAAAUAGGCAAAUCAAAGCCAAUUGUCAAACUGCUCUUUUCUUUUUCCCUAGCCCCUUGAGUAUUUAUUUUAGGAGAAGAUUUCUCACUGAAGUCAAGAACACCCCAACCAAACCGAAUGUUGCUAACAACAAGGUCCAAAGAUCUCUUGUUUUAUCACAGUGAAUCAAAAUGUGAUCAGUUAAUUCUUCACUAUCUUUACAAAGGCUACAUCCAUUAACCAUGGAUGAACCCCUCUUCAUUAACAUGCCUACAAUUAAAAUCUUCCCCCAAACAGCUUUCCAAGCACAAAAAUGAGUUCUAAGAGGGGCACGGGAUCCCCAAAUCUCUUUUGCUAGGAAUAUUAAAUUAUUCUCAGCCCCUAGAGAAUUAUAAUAAGACUUGACACUUAAUUCCCCCCUCCUAUCAUAUUCGUAUAUUAAAAUGUCCUCCCCAUCUUGCACUUUUGAUGAAAAAAUGUGUUCCAAAAAUUGAAUCACCUCCUCUAACUCCCAAUCUUGGAAGAGUCUUUUAAAUUGAACCUCUCAAUGACCACAUCCACCCUCUUUCCUCUCCCAUAAGUUUGCAUCUAUAGCAUUUUUGUGGGAUGCUAGUCUAAAAAGUGUACGGUAAAUGUCUUUCAACUUAAACUCCCCAUCCCAACUGUCCCACCAAAAUCUUGUAUGUCUACCAUUUCCAAUACGGACAUUAGUUCUAAGAAUGAACUUUUCUAACCCUUUUCUAAUGUUUUUCCAAAGGCUUAUCCCAUAAGAAUCCUUCACCUCUCUAGUAGUCCAACUCCCCACCACCUCCCCAAACUUUCCAAGAAUGACUUUUCUCCAGAAACUCUCCCUCUCAAGGCGAAAUCUCCACAACCAUUUGUUUAACAAGACUUGAUUAGGACCCUCCAAACGUCUUAUCCCAAACCUUCCAUGCUUCCCAUCCUUACAAAUAUCCAAAUAGUUUACCAAGUGGAUCUUUCUCCUCUCUGUCGUAUCUCCCCACAAAAAGUCCCUUUGAAUUUUCUCUAAUCUAAUCCUCACCUUAUUGGGAAUUGGAAAAAAAGACAUAAAAUAGAUCGAAAAGUUUGAAAGAGUGCUCUUAAUAAGGACAAGUCUUCCUCCUUUAGAUAAGUACUAUUUUUUCCAAGAAGCCAAUUUCCUCUUAUAUCUCUCCUUGAUUGCAUCCUACACACCAUAAGACUUGUGAGGGGCUCCAAGGGAUAAACCUAGAUAAGAAGUAGGAAGUUUCCCUGCUUUACACCCAAAAAGAGCAGCCACUCUAUCAACAUCCUCUAGGCCCCCUAGAAUAAUUUCGCUUUUUUGCAACAAACCAAACACCAAUUCAAAGCAAGUGACAAUCCACUUCUAAUAUUUCAACUGAUCUUCGUUAUCCUCACAAAAGAGAAAAGUGUUGCCUGCAAACAAUAAGUGAGACUUGAGUCCCUUCUUCCCCUCUACCUUCAAUCUUGAAACCCCUAAUGAGACCUCCCUCCUCAGCCUUAGCCAUUAAUCUGCUAAGGGCUUCUAUAAUCGACACAAACAAAUAGGGUGAAAGAGGGUCCCCUUACCUCAGACCUCUAUCAGUUAAGAAGAAAUUUGUAGGAGUAUCAUUAACUAGAACAACCAAGCUCAUAGUAGAAAUGCAAAAGUGGAUCCACUGUCUCCCUAAUCUUCUCUAAAAUCGAAAGAAGGAACUUCUAGUUUACAUGAUUGCAAGCUUUUUCUAUAUCCAAUUUGCAAACUAAACCCACAUUAGAGCUUCACUUCCACCAAUCAAUAGUCUCAUUUGCUACUAAGGUUGCAUCAAAAAUUUGUCUACCCCCCACAAAGGCAUUCAGGCUAUUUGACACCACUUUGCUAACUACUCUUUUAAGCCUAUUAACUAGAACUUUUGCAAGAAGUUUGUAAAGGCUCCCCACAAGACUAAUUAGCUUGAAAUCCUGGAUAUCACUUGCCCCUCCUUUCUUUGGGAUGAGGAGUAAAAAUGUUGCAUUGAGGGUACGGACCACAACAUUCUACGAAUGAAAUUCCUCAAAGGGACUUGGGGGGAUCCUUGGUGCAUUGGUGGUGACUUUAAUGUGGUUUGAUUCUCUAUAGAAAGAAGACACUAUGCUAGGUUUUCCUCCUUUCCUAGAAUUCAUAGAAGAGUUUUCCCUCAUUGAUCUCCUUUUAAAUGGAGGGUUGUUCACUUGGUGUGGAUGGAAUGAACAAAGCUUCAACGUUAAAAAUUGAUAGUUUCCUAGUGUUAGGAAAUUGGGAGGGCCAUUUCAUUAAUGUGUUGUAGACCAUUUUGUCAAGGCCAAUAUCUAAUCAUUCUCCUAUUUUAUUGGAUGGAGGGUGGGUGAGGAGGGAAAAGUCCCCUUUUAGGUUUGAAAUAUCUGGCUUAAAGUGGUUGGUUUAAAGGAUUUGGUCAAAGGUUGGUGGGAAAGUUAUAAUUUCUUUGGUUCCUAUGGUUUUGUCUUGGAUUCUAAAUUGAAAGCUUUAAAGUGGGAUCUCAAGGCUUGGAAUAAAGGGGUCUUCAAAAAUGUAGUCCUCUCUCAAUAAAGUCUUGCUUGGAAAAUGGUGUUGGAGAUUUGCCUUAGAGAGAGAGAGUUCCUUUGGAGACGGGUUAUAAUGGGAAAGUUUUGGGGAAGAACCUGGAGAAUGGUACUCUCUUGCAAGGAGGGAGGGGCAUGGUGUUAGCUUGGGGAAAGCAAUAAGAGGAGGUUGUGAAGCCUUUAAGGAUAGAACAAGAUUUUUGGUCGGCAAUGGAAGAAGAACAAAAUUUUGGCAUUAUGUUUGGUGUGGGGAUGCUCCUUUAAAGGACUAUUUUCCCUCUCUUUUCUCUUUUGCAUCUAAUCAAGAGGCUUGGGUGGUAAAUGCUGAGGAGGUCCUAAGCAGGCAGGUUAUUUGGAACCUAGGUUUCACAAGGAAAUUUCAAGAUUAGGAGUUACAUAGAAGAGUUACUUAGGAGAUCUCAAGUGCUUAGGAACUGCAACGAGGAUAAGCUAAUUUGGAAAGCUAGCAAGAGUGGGAAUUUUUCUAUUCUUCCUUAGAGAUGGAUGGAGUGUCUUUUCUCGUGAAGGUAGUGUGGGCUUCUUCAACACCUUUAAAAGUGGGUUUUAUUGCUCGGAAUGUUGUAUGGCAAAGGUUCCUAACCUUAAAUUAGCUUGAAACACAAGGUUGAUUGUUGGCUAAUCAAUUUUGUUUUUAUAUGAGUUCAGAAGAAUUAGCUAAUCGCAUGCUAAUCCAUUAUAAAAAGGCAAGGGGCCCUUGGCAAUUUUUGCCUUCUCUCUUUGGUUUUUCUUGGGUCCUCCAUUUUUCUAUCAAAGAUGUGUCAAAGGUUAGCAUGGGAGUUUUGUGAGCUAAAAUAGAAAGAAGAUUUGAAGGACAGUCCUUCUUUGCUUAUUUUGAAUUCUUUCCCAAGAGAGGAACCGAAGAUAUUUUGAUGGAAUUCAAUGCUCAUAUCAAACGCUAAAUAACUCCCUUACUCACCAACAUAUUUAAGAUGGCCUUGUUUCCUUGUUUCAUUUUAUUGAUUGGUUGAAUAUUAGUGGGAGAGUGUUUAGUGUGCAUGUUUUAGGUGGUUCUAUUUGUUGUAUUGGCAGCCUUUGUACACCUCACUUGAGGUGAGCACCCUCUCCUUGAUUGGCGUCUUUCAUAUAUUCUUAUUUGUGUACCAAAAAAACAUCAUUCACUAAAAAUAACUAGUUAAUAACAAUUAUUGAUUAAAAAUCUAACAAAUAUGUUAAGAAAGAGCAUAGAUUCAUGAAAAGUAUAAAAUAACACAAUUAUAACAAUUCCCUCGGUUAGAAAAUAAUUUCAUAUGAUAGAAAUGAUGGUUGAAGCAAACUGAGUGAAUUGCCUCAAAGAGUCACAAAAGAGUUUAAUAGCCUACAAAAUUGUAAAGGUAGUUUAGUUCUAGAACAUGCAGAAUUAUAAAAACAAAAGAAGUCAAGAAAAUCCUCACAACACCCUCUUUUUUGUUUUUCCCUUUCUAUCCAAAAUAUGAAUUCAGUAGGUAUAAACCAAGAUUUUAAUACUAGUGAUGAUAAAAAUAAAAUAAAAUAAUAUAUUGAUUAGCAUAGCAUACUUUUUUUUCCUGUGAAUCUGGUAGAUUACAAAAAUAUCUUAUACCUAGUUUGGAUAAAUUCUAAAUUAUUCUUCAGAGUUCUACUUGAUAUCUGUCAAAACUAUUUAAAAAAAAAAUAAUCAAAUUUAUUUGUGUCUCUUAUAUAGAAUUACCUAAUGAUGGAUGAAUAUGUUUAAGUAGUCUAUAUUGACUUUAAAUAUGACCCAAAAGAAGUUAACACAAAAUGCUAUAUGAUAUGGACAAUUUAUUAUUUCCUUCCCAAAUUUGAGGGUUUGGUCUUGUCUCUUCCUCAAGGUUAAUAACUAUUAAUUUUUUUCAAAGUUUUGUCCUGAUCUAUGAACCCAAUCCUUUUCUUCCCAACCAAUUUUAUAAGGAAAUUCAAAGCCCUACUUAAGAUAAAGGCUUUUGUGUGGCUAUUAUCUGGUAUAAGAAGGUUAACACUAACAAUAUGCUACAGUUAAGAAGACCUCAUAAAACCCUCAAUAGGGACCAAUAUUUUUAUGUAAUUGGGGGGUGGCGAGUCAAUUAAUCAUCUUUUUUCUAGAUUAUCUGGUAUCAUUGGAGCUAUGACAUAGGUAAUUUAGAAGUAGUAGAAUUGUUUGGGCUUCCAUAGAAGCGUGGCAGACAUUUGGUCAUAUCAUUUUAGGGGUUUUGGUGACCGUAUAAGAGGUAAGGUGAUGAGGAUGUAAGUAGCCUCACUCUGAUAUGAAUUAUCUGGCAGGGGAGGACCACAAAAUUUUCAAGAUGGGUGGAGGAGGCUGUCUGGGAGCUGAUGACUUGUUUGCUUCGCACGGACUUUCUGUUAGUUGGAGUAAAAAGGAACAGCCAAAUGUAGCUCUGCCAAUGCAAAAGCUCAAUACAAGCUGAUGGCAGCCACUACUGUAGAACUAACAAGAUAUUGCGAGUCUCAAUUCACUUGUAUGUGACAACUCGAGUGCCUUCCGUAUAUCCGUUAAUACUGAAUCACCCAAAGGAAAGAGACGGACUUUACGGGAUUUAAUUCUUCGUCGGAAGAGACACCCUGCCCAUUACAGAACAAAAAGCGGACCAAGUACCCUCACAUGUAAAACCCAUUCUGGGCCACACCUAAAACCCAACGCUCUCAUCACUUCCCCGACGAAUUUGCUUAAUUAUUUUCGCCAUCUCCCUCUUUGAAAAGAGGAAAAAGAAAAAAGAAAACCCUAAAACCCAAAAUCAUACAGCAACAGCAUCUCAGGAAUCUGUAACAGGUAAUUAAGAGCAGAUUCUACAUGUACGUGUAAAUUAAAUCGCAGAAAUCGGGGAAAAUUCAAUCGGAUGAAAGGGAAUCAUAGAAAGCAGGGAAAAAAAUGGAAUAAGAUCAUAUGGUAAGAAAUUCAUGAAAUACUUUACCUAAGAAUCCCGUGAGAGAUCUGGGAUGAGGCCGCAGAAUGCCCUGUGGGUGGGCUGUCCUUGGUCCUUGCUUGUUUUCCAAAAAAUGUAUAUGCGUGUUUUCUAGUAUUCUGGGUUGUUUACGCAAAAACUAACACGGGUCUCAUGAAAAAACCCAGCCUACCGGCCUUGACUUCAACGCGGUCUACCUUUGCCACCAGGCACCCACUUACCCGCAGUCCCCAACUCCCCGUAGCAGAACUAAAUGGAAAAACAGCAACCAAAAACUAGAACUACCACAACCAUUGAUUGAGCCUACUCGGCAAGAAAUGUUUUUGGUUCUGUUCUUUUUCUUUUUCUAUUUUUCUCCAGCUCUAUAAUUUUGAUUCUUGAAUAGAACCCUGAACUUCUUAAUAAGUUACCAUCAAUCCAAUGAUAAUACAUGUAGAAUUCACAUUCAAUUACUUUAUAUUUAAAUCUUAUUGUGGAUCCCGCAUUUUUAAUCAUGCGCUCCCACUCGACGACGAAUUCACUUUUUAUUUAAAAAUGAUUUAUUUAUUAAGAAAAUAAAUUAGAGUCGCCACUUAUUUUUGUUUUAUUUUUAAAGUGAAAACAAAAUAAAAAAUAAAAACCGUAAAUGUAACUCCUGACGUGGAAAAGCGUAGUCUGUGAAAAAUCGAAUCUGAGCUCAAGGGUCAGGUUGUUUAUCGGGAAGGUACGGUAAAGAUCGCAGCACCUCUUUAAAUCCCUAAAAACGGGUAUCUACUAAUAAGAUGAAACAAAUAUGACAAUUGAUUGAUUAAACAUGGAUACCGACUAGUGAUUAAAUGCGUGAAAGAAAGACAUGCAUGAUAAUAAAUAAAUCAAUAAACACAAUUGGGUACGAGACGUACCUUAGUCACAAGUUGAGCGCUAUCAUAAGAGACAGAGUUAGUACACAAAUACAGAAUAAUCGCAUGCAUAUCAUAGAGUGAGGCGAACCAAUCAAGUAUAGCAAUCAAUCAAUCAGUGAAAAAAAUCACAUGUUGGGUCCCACCAAAACCCAAUUUAUUUUGCACGAAUUAGUCUCACAAAUUUCAUUAUUUUAUAAUUAUGAAGAAGUCAUUCUUGCUUAUGUAAAAUCAAGAGAGAACAGAAGAUUAUUUGAAAAUCAAAAUGGAAUUAAAAUUGUUUAAGAGAAAAUUGGAUUUUUGAAAUUUAUUUGAAAAUUGGAGUCUCGAAAAUUAUUUCAAAAUUGGAGUCUUGGGAAUUAAAUAUAAGAAUUGGAAUUUCGGAAAUUAAAUUUGAAAGAAAUUGGAAUUUUUAAAAUUAUUUGAGAAUUAGAGUUUUGGAAAUUAAAUUAAAGACUUGGAACUUUGGAAAUUGAAUUUGAAAGAAAUUAGCAAAUUAUUUGAGAAUCGGAGUUUUGAAAAUUAAAUUUAAAAAUUUGAAUUUUUGAGAUUAAAUUUGAAAGAAAUUAGGAUUCUGAAAAUUAUUUGAGAAUUGAAACUAUGAAAAUUAAGUUAUGAAAAUUGGAAUAUUGGAAAUUAUUUGAAGAUGGAAUUUUUUUAGAAAUAAAUAAAAUGAUGAUGAUAAUAAUAAUGAUAAUAAUAAAUAAAUAAAUAAAUGUGAAAAUUGGAAUUUUGGAAAUUGGAAAAUUGGAAUUUCAGAAAUUGAUAAUUAAAUUUGGAAAUCAGAAUUUUGAAGAAUUAUUUAAAGAUGGAAUUUUAAAAAUAAAUAAAUAAAAUAAUAAUAACGAAAAUAAUAAUGAUUAAAUAGAUAAAUGUGAAAAUUAGAAUUUCAGAAAUUGGAAUUUCAGAAAUUGAGAAUUAAAUUUGGAAAUCAGAAUUCUGAAGAAUUAUUUAAAGAUGGAAUUUUGAAAAUAAAUAAAUAAAUAAAAUAAUAAUAAUAACGAAAAUAAUAAUGAUUAAAUAAAUAAAUAUGAAAAUUGGAAUUUUGGGAAUUGGAAAUUAGAAUUUUGAAGAAUUAUUUAAAGAUGUAAUUUUGAAAAUAAAUAAAUAAAUAAAAUAAUAAUAACAAAAAUAAUAAUGAUUAAAUAAAUAAAUAUGAAAAUUGGAAUUUUGGAAAUUGGAAAUUAAAUUCGGAAAUUGGAAUUUCAGAAAUUGAGAAUUAAAUUUGGAAAUCGAAAUUUUGAAGAAUUAUUUAAAGAUGGAAUUUUGAAAAUAAAUAAAUAAAAUAAUAAUAAUAACGAAAGUAAUAAUGAUUAAAUAAAUAAAUAUGAAAAUUGGAAUUUUGGGAAUUGGAAAUUAGAAUUUUGAAGAAUUAUUUAAAGAUGUAAUUUUGAAAUUAAAUAAAUAAAUAAAAUAAUAAUAACGAAAAUAAUAAUGAUUAAAUAGAUAAAUGUGAAAAUUAGAAUUUCAGAAAUUGGAAUUUCAAAAAUUGAGAAUUAAAUUUGGAAAUCGGAAUUCUGAAGAAUUAUUUAAAGAUGGAAUUUUGAAAAUAAAUAAAUAAAAUAAUAAUAAUAACGAAAAUAAUAAUGAUUAAAAGAAUAAAAGCAAAAAUUGGAAUUUUGGAAAUUGGAAAUUAAAUUUGAAAAUCAGAAUUUUGAAGAAUUAUUUAAAUGUGGAAUUUUUUUAAAAAAAAUAAAAUAAAAUAAUAAUAAUGAGAAUAAUAAUGAUUAAAUAAAUAAAUGUGAAAAAUGGAAUUUUAGAAAUUGGAAAUUAAAUUGGGAAAUCGGAGUUUUGAAGAAUUAUUUGAGAACAGUAUUUUGGGAAAACUAAAUUUUGAAUAUUGGAAUCUAGGGAAAUUAUUUUGAGAAUGGAAUUUCGGGAAAUUAAAAAAAUUGAAAUCUUGAAAAUUUAUUAUGAGAAUGGGAUUUCGGAAAAUUAAAUUUCGAAAAGUUGGAAUCUUAAAGAAUUAUUUUGAGAAUGGAAUUUUGGAAAAUUAAAUUUCAAAAAUUGGAAUCUUGAAAAAUUAUUUUGAGAAUGGAAUUUUUAUAAAAAGGCGAUUUAGGAGAAUGACACGUGGCCUGAGGAAAGGUGGCCAUGCAUAGCCAAACACUCCAACAUGUGCUUUAUAUACAAUAUCAAAUUCAAAUCAAGCUUGUGGACCCCAUCCCAAAAUUCAUUUUCUCCAUGUAUUCAAGUUUAUUCCCAACUUCAUUGUGCUAUCCUCGGUAUGCAACAAACCCAUUUUCAUGUUGCUGAAAUAUCAUACCCACCCCACCAUCCCAAUUUCCCAUGCAUAUAUCUAUCAUACUCACAUCACAAACCCAUUUUUUACGCAUAUUCAAUGAGUGAAUCUUAUACUUGGGAUGUGGUUUGUGAACGACAAAGAGACCCAACUUAUAUUUCUAGAGAGAGAAUGGUGGUGACGGGAAUGCAAAGAUGGGUAUGAGGGAUGAAAAAAAUAGAGAUGGUCAUGCACUUGGGGCUUCAUGCACGUUAGAAAUGGUGAUGGACAUAAUGGAACAUGAGGGAUGAUGGAGAGGAAUGGUGGAGACAUUUGCAAAGGCUGGCCAUGCAAAUGUGGGGGCAUGGGUUUAAUAGAUAUUAGAGGAUAGAAAUGGAAAUGGUGGUGGGCUUGAUGAAACAUGAAGGUAGAAUGGGAAGGUGGUGAGAUGGUGAGUAUGAUGGGUAAAAGAUGUGAGAGAAAUGGGUAUGAGGGAAAAAAUAGAGAUGGCCAUGCACUUGGGACUCCAUGCACGUGAGAAAUGGUGAUGGGCAUAAUGGAACAUGAGGGAUGGAGAGGAAUGGUGGAGACAUUUGCAAAGGCUGGCCAUGCAUGGCCAUGCAAACGAGGGGGCAUAGGUUUAACGGGUAUAUGAAUAAUGAAAAUUCAUGAGGGAGUAUGGAGAGUAGAAUGGAUACGUGGUGUGGUGUAGAGAGAGAAAGGUGGCAAUGGGUAUGUGAAAGACGAAAUGGGUUAAUGGGUAUCGAAAUGUAGAAAGAAUGAGUGAUGGUGAACACGUUAAUGGGUAUGGAAGAUAUGGGAUGGGUAGUGGGAUGUGGUGAGAGAAAUGAUGAUGUAGGGUUUCAUGAAGGUGGUGACAUACGUGGGAUAAAAAAAUGGGUAUGCAUGGAAGAGAGGUUGAAGAGAUGGAUGAAGAUCUAAGUGCAUGGUGGAUAGAGAAAGAAUGAAGGUUAGGUAGUGAAAGAAACGGAGAUGUAAGAUGCCCAUGCAUGCAUGAGGAUAAACAGGAAAGGAAACGUACAAGGAAGUGAAUGGAAAAAAUGAAUGAGAGAAGUAUUGAAGGAAAUGAGUUUAAUGGGUAUGAAUGGAGCUUUAGAGAGAGAGGUGGGUUUAAAGAUGAGUAUGGAGGGUAUAAAGAGAGGAAGGUGGUGACGGGUAAGAGAUUAGUGGGGUAUGAAGUUGGAGAUGAGUAGUAGUGGGAUGAAAAUGUGGAGAGAGAGAGAAGGGUGGUAUAUGGAAGUGAGAGAAACGAGUUAGAGAUGGGCAUGGAAAUAGCAGCAAUCCAAGUUCAAAAUUUUCCAGAUUCAAUUUCAUAUUAGAAUAUUUCAACUCUCUUGCAUCAUUCUUUAGAUCAAACAUGAACUUCACCGCUUGUUACCACCACUGAGGUCCAGUUCCAGCUCUAAAGAUGAAACUUCCUAUUCUCUGAUGGGCAUAAAAUACCCAGAAAAUGAGAGAUAAGCACCAAAUACUACCAUUGAUCUACCCGAGGCAGACCCUAUAGUGUCAACAACUUCAUAAACCUAAAUCGCCUAAACAAUCUCAUUUGUAUUCCUUAUCUAGGUACCUCCCAACAACUCUGAUGUUGAGCUCCCUCAAAAGCACCCCAAUCCAGACGACCAGCCCAAGCAUGAUAUUCUCUCCAAAAAAAAGAAUGCCCAAAACGGAAGUAAGGCUGUUAUAUUUAGCUCUAUCUCAUGCUGAUCAAUGAGCUGAAUAUAGGUGGAAGAAUCUCAACAAGUGAGAACAUGAUUUUUAUUUAUCAAACUUGAGGAGAGAUUAAUACAUUAAGUGUUUUCCAAAGGGAAACAAAGACAUCGGAACGUGAGGUCCUAACAAAGCAUGCACAUAAAAAAGCAGACAUAGCAAAGCAAACAAGUGGCUCGUGAUGUCCACACCAAAUAAUCCAAUGAACCCAAAAACUAUCAGGAAACAAGAUAAAACACUCUGAAAUGAGAAAAUACAAAGGAGUACCAAAAUCAUACCUGGAUCGGACUGAUAAGCUCCUUCCCUACUCCUUCUUCAGUUUCUUUCUAAGGCUCCUCACUGGUUCACUCUCAAGCUCUCUCCGAAAGAAUCUCCCUCUCCCUCAAGCUCACCUCGUAUCUCCCUGCAACAACCAAAGGAAGCUUUUUUUCUCCAUUCUCUAAAAAAAUAUAUAUAUAUUUUUUCUCCCUAAAUCCUCUAGCUAGCUUGCAAAACACGCCCCUUUAUCCCCCCAAGCUAUCCCUACCUCCCUCUAUUUCUAGCCAACUCUUCGUUCGACUUAGUCUCCUCCAAGAAAAUGAAAAAAAACUUUUUACCCCCCUUCCAGCUUGUUCCACAAGCUAUCUAUAUUCCUGUCACAACCCACCAAAAUGUCUUUCUUGUCAUGUAGCCCCAUUUUCUAUUCAGUUCUAUCUUCCUUCUUCAAAUGACUAUGUCUCCCAUUUUUCAAACAACUCACCCAUCAGUCCUCUUUGGCUGCCAGUCCUAUCCAGCAGCCUCAUACAACUUAUUCCCGGGUUGAUGAAUAAGGAGAAAAUAAAACAAAAGAAAUGUCUCCCAUUUGAGGGGGUCUACAAAUAUGCCCCUCUUCGGUAGAGUUCACGAGUACAAGGAAUAUGAACACGAGAGUGAAAAGAAAGUGUGAAAAGUGAGUGGAAUGAAGUGAACUCUACCGAAGAAAAGGAAAGACCCCCAAAGGUACAUAAGUAGAACACAAACUCAUUCAGGUCAAUAGAUGAACAAAAGGGCUCUAAUCCUCAAGGAAGGGUGACUCUCUCCACAAGUGACUCGAAAAAUCGAUGUCAAAGAUGAGUAACGGUCGAACGACCUUCGAGUAUUGGAAAGAAUGCAUCCAAAUGGGACUGCCCUACGUGAACUACAUGAGAACGCUAAGUGUGGGGUGCCCAACAACAUGACUAAAAUAUGUGCCACGAACUCAAAAGACUAUGUCACAUGCAGGGGAAGGGGAAGUCUAGAAGAGCAUGAUGAAUAAGCGAUAAGCACAAGGUAACGAGGUAAGGAAAAUAAGGACAAAUGUAAAAUCAUGAAGACAGGAUGUGCAACACCAACGAACAUGAAUGCUAAGAGCCAUGACUACGAAUGACAAGGUUGGAGAAAAACGACUUUGAACACCAAAAGGAGGAAAUAUGGUGACUCAAGGUGCCUGAAUGAGUAUGCAUGACAACUCUGAACGCCAAAACUAAAGGACGAUAGUGGCUUCGAAUACUAAGUUGGACGAUGGCUCUGAAUGCCAAAACGAAGACACAACUCUGAACGCCAAACUGUGAACGAUGGCUCUAAAGGCUAGGAAUGUCGCUCUGAACGCCGACAAGGUGGCAACGAAUGCCUGAUCAUGACAGAUGAUAGGUCUGAACGCCAAAUGGUGAAAGGGACAGUGACUCUGAACUCUAAACUAAAGAAAAUAAAGGUUUUAAACAUCGGAAGAUGCGACUCUCAAUGCCGAACUAAAAAAUGUAUGGUGGAUCCGAACGCCUAACUGAAGAAAGACAUGAUGACUCCGAAUAUCGAACUGAAAACAUGACUCUGAACUCCAACUAAAAAAAACUGAUAACACUGAACACUAAAGACAAAGCUCUAAAUGCCCAAACUGAACUAGCAGCUCUAAACGCUGGAACUGAGAAACGAUGAUGACUUUGAACACCAAAACUAAGAAUGAUGAUGGCUCUGAACACCAAAACUGAGAAUGAUGAUGGCUUUGAACGUCGAAACUGAAAAGGGAUGGUGGCUCUGAACGUCGAAAUUGAGAAGUGAUAAUGACUUUGAACGUCGAAACUGAGAAUGAUGAUGACUCUAAACGCCAAAACUAAGAAUGAUGAUGGCUUUGAACGCCAAAAUUAAGAAGUGAUGAUGACUCUGAACAUCGAAACUAAGAAGCGAUGAUGGCUCUGAACGUCGAAACUGAGAAGCGAUGGUGGCUCUAAACGCCGAAACUGAGAAUGAUGAUGGCUUUGAACGCCAAAACUGAGAAGCGAUGGUGGCUUUGAAUGCCGAAACUGAGAAUGAUGAUGGCUCUGAACGCCGAAACUGAGAAUGAUGAUGGCUCUGAACACCGAAACUGAGAAUGAUGAUGGCUCUAAAUGCUGAAACUGAGAAUGAUGAUGGCUUUGAACACUGAAACUGAGAAGCGAUGGUGGCUCUAAACGCCGAAACUGAGAAUGAUGAUGGCUCUAAAUGCCGAAACUGAGAAUGAUGAUGGUGGCUCUGAAUGCUGAAACUGAGAAUGAUGAUGACUCUGAACGCCAAAAUUGAGAAUGAUGAUGGCUCUGAACGCCGAAACUAAGAAGCGAUGAUGGCUCUGAACAUCGAAACUGAGAAGCGAUGAUGAUUCUAAACGCCGAAACUAAGAAGAGAUAGUGGCUCUAAACGCCGAAACUGAGAAUGAUGAUGACUCUAAACGCCAAAAUUGAGAAUGAUGAUGGCUCUGAACGCCGAAACUGAGAAGCCAUGGUGGCUUUGAAUGCCGAAAUUGAGAAGCGAUGGUGGCUCUAAACGCCGAAACUGAGAAGCGAUGAUGACUUUGAACGCCAAAACUAAGAAGCGAUGGUGGCUUUGAAUGCCGAAAUUAAGAAUGAUGAUGGUUCUGAAAGCAGAAACUAAGAAUGAUGAUGGCUCUGAACUCCGAAACUGAGAAUAAUGAUGGCUCUGAACACCGAAACUGAGAAUGAUGAUGGCUUUGAACUCCGAAACUGAUAAGCGAUGGUGGCUCUGAACGCCAAAACUAAGAAUGAUGAUGGCUCUGAAUGCCGAAACUGAGAAUGAUGGUGGUGGCUCUGAACGCCAAAACUGAGAAUGAUGAUGACUCUGAACGCCGAAACUGAGAAUGAUGAUGGAUUUGAACACCGAAACUAAGAAUGCGACUUUGAACGUCAAACUGGAAAUGCGAGGUGAUAAUGAGGGAGAGAUAUGCCCCAGUGUACCAUGCUACUACAACUCUUAAUCCACGAAAAUGGUCUGAAAGAGACUCCAUGAGUCUUAAAGGAUGCUCUGCUAGCAAGUCGGAAUAGUCAAAUCAACUAUGAACAUAGUCUCAUAACCCAUCUGACUAAAACAUGAGGUCUAGUGAAGCGUCAUAACUAUCCGGAUGUCUUUGACUCAAGAUGCUCUACUAGGGGAAUCUAUCGUUGUAUCAAAUGAAUGAUCCAAUGGGGAGUCACAAGAGAAUAGUCCACCAAGGUAACUACUAUGAUCUCAAUCUACUGAAGAGUUAAGGAUAGUAGGGCAGUCAAACCUCUGAGGUUGUGCUCUGUUGAAGGCUCAUCCCGGAAAACAUCAUCGAGAUUGUGAUUAUCAAUGUGAAUAAACAUCUCUCGACCGAGUAAUGUGGAUUGUAACAAGUCUCUGAGAAAACAAUCAUCUCCACAGCUGAAAGGGGGGAAUAUGCCCCAAUAUAGCAACUAGGGCAUCCAGUCUGUCCUAAUAACUCGAGAAUGACUCAAUGGGGAAGUAUAGGAGAUUCUACCUGUACCUUAGUGAAAUGAUGAUGCGGGAGUCUAUGCAUUUGAGAUAACUACAUCCAAGAAUCAUGACAACAUUAGAAAAUACAAGCUCAAUCGAAUGUCUUAAGAAAAGCUCCACCGGAGAAUCAAGGUGAAAUGGAAGCGAAUCAUCAGCCCGACGUGCAUCUUGUAACUAGGGAUGAUCAUGCAAAUCAAUGGAGAUCUACAAAUCUCAACCAAAAAGAAAAUAUGCCCCAGUAUGGCAUCAGAUGUGUGAUAGGUCAGAAAAAUCAAAUGGCCUCAAGUCAUCUAUCCUCAGAAGUGCGAUCCUCAUCAUCCGAAUCCAUAACUGAAUCAGACCCACGGAUCAAAAAGACGCACCUCAAAAGAGGAAGUAUGAUGACAUCUAAGUGCUGAAAGGUGCGGGUCAGGAUGAAUGACUCAAGAAAGGCUCCACUGGAGGAUCACGAUAAAAUAACGAAUAGGUCCUCGUCUCGGCGUGUAUCCCGUAGGCGGAGAUGAUCGUGCGACUCCAUGAAGAUCUAUAACUCUCAACCGAAACAGAAAUAUGGCCCAAUAUGGCAUAGAUGUAUGGUAGAUCGGAAAUCGGGUGACAUGAAAUCAUCCAUCAUCAAAUGUGUGAUCUCGGUAACCCAAAACGAACCCAAACGUCAAGGAAACGUUUCUCAGAAUAAGAAGCAUGAUGGCAUACAAAUGUCGAACAUGAUGACUUGGUGGCUCAAGAGAGACUCUACUGAGGAAUAAUGAUAAAAUAACGAACACGUCCUCGUCUCGGUGCGCAUCCCGUAAGUGGGAGUGAUUAUGUAGCUCCAUGAAGAUCUAUAACUCUCAACCGAAAUGGAAAUAUGCCCUAGUAUGGCAUAGAUGUAUGGUAGAUCGGAAAUCGGGUGACAUGAAAUCAUCCAUCAUCAAAUGUGUGAUCUCCAUAACCCAAAACGAACUCAAAUGUCAAGGAAACGUCUCCCGGAAUAAGAAGCAUGAUGGCAUACAAAUGCCGAACAUGAUGACUGGGUGGCUCAAGAGAGGCUCCACUAAGGGAUAAUGAUAAAAUAAUGAACACGUCCUUGUCUCGGUGCGCAUCCCGUAAGUGGAAGUGAUCAUGUAACUCCAUGAAGAUCUAUAACUCUCAACCGAAACAGAAAUAUGCCUCAGUAUGGCACCAAAUGUGUGGUAGAUCGAAAAAUCGGGUGACAUCAAAUCACCAAUCAUCAAAUAUGUAAUCCUGGUCAUCUAAACCCACUACUGAAAUGAACCCAAACAUCAAUGAAGCGCCCCCUAGAAGAAGAAGCAUGAUGAUAUCCAAAUAUCGACCAAAUCUCAAACACAUGUCCAAGUAGGGGCUAUUGAAGAUGACAUCUGAUCUCAUGGCCUCAGGAUGGUCUUAAGACACGAGACGUAACGUAGGUUAGGGCGAUAAGGUAACGGAAAUGAAGGGAAACUAGGCUCAAAUACCCAAUGAUCAAAAACCCAUGCCCUCAUGUAUGAAAUGCAACAUGUACAGAAAAACUCGUGAGUCAUGGACUUGAGGGUGCCCAAUGUGAAUAUAAUAUCAAUAAUGAGACGAUGAAGCAAAUCACACUAAUAAUGAGAUGCACAAGAAUGAUGCAGAAGAAAUAUCUAACCCGAAACGGGUCGCUGUAAGACACGAACAAGGGGUGAAACCAAGAUGAUGAAUCAAAAGAAAAAAUGAGAAUGAUGGUGAAAUAAAUAACACAAAGAGCAGUGAUGAUCCGCUUAAAUCAAACAUGAAAUGAAGUCACAUCGUCAAUGAAUGUAAUGAUGGAAAUGACAAUGACACAGAGCUCCUAAGAGAAAGUCACUCGUCUCACUCUCAAAAUACAAGACAAAAUGAAUAAAAAAAAUUGAGGGUCUCGAAAAGUUCACAUGCGAACUCUCAUCGACAAACAUACUUGAUCAAGUGACCCUCAAACAUCAAUAUACACGACAAAGUGAAUACAAAGAAAAAAGAGGAUCUUAGAAAGCUCACAUAUGAGCUCUCACCAACAAACAUACUUGAUGAAACGACCCUCAAGUAUCAAUAUACACGCCUAAUGAUGGAGAAUAUUAUGCACAUACACACAUGUACUUAUUUUUAUUUUCUUUUUCAUUUUUUUUAUUUUUACAUAUAUACAAAUGCACAUACCCUGAACAUAAACAAACGAGUCCCAAAUAUGAUAUCAACAAUGGAUAGACACGCUCUAAGGUAACAAAAACUCUCUCUGACAAGAUGACCUUCUCAAACUAAGAAUCUCUGAACCAGUGUCCAUGUGACUAUCCUCCAUGUAAUGAACUGAGGAGGAUCACCCCUUAGGGUGGAGAGAAUAUGAAGCAAAACAAGCAAUAGAUAGAGUAAAGAAGAAAAGAUGAAGAACACAACCAAUGAGAUAUGAUAGAAUGUAGUAAUGUGAUGGUAGGAAAAAUAAUGAGAGAAAGAUGCACCUGUAGGUCCAAGACUCAUGAGACUCCCAAACAAUGCAUGCAUACACCAAAGGGCCCCUAUCCUAGUGUGAAAACGUGAGUAAGACAAUAAGAAAGAAAUGCUAUAAUGCACGUGCGAGGCUCAAUGGGCUAGCAACAGUCGAUAUAUCAAAAGGGUGAAAAGGUAUAUGGCUAACCGAAAUGAUGGCCACCCAUCCUACGACCAUGGUCUCAAAUGUAGUACCUCUUUAGCUGAUCUACGUUAGUCGGCUCCGAGAAUCGAUUUCCAUCUAGAUCCAUCAACCAUGCGGCACUCCCUGGAGUCAGCUCCCUGAUGAAAUAAGGUUCGCUCCAAUUGGGUCUAAACUUCCAUCUGGGAAUUCUGAUCAAUCUCCUAAUGAUCUUCAAAACCAAGUCACCUAUCUGUAAUGGUUUGGGCUUGACCCGCUUCUUGAAAGCACGGGCCAUCUUCUUCUGGUAAACACAGACAUGGUUUGCUGCUCUCAAUCUCCUCUCAUCUAGGAGAUUGAGCUGAUCUAAUUGAGCCUAAGCCUAAUCUGCCUCUGGAAUCUACUACUCUAACGCUAUUCUCAAUGAACCCAUCUCAAUCUCAACUAGUAACACUGUCUCCAUACUAUACACCAAGGAGUAAGGUGUGGCUCUUGUAGAGGUGCGAAAAGAAGUCCGAUAAGCCCACAAUGCAAAGUGAAACUUCUAUGACCAAUCCUGAGAAGUCUCAACCAUCCUUCAUAAGAUCCUCUUAAUGUUCUUGUUCGCGGCCUUUAUUGCCCCAUUAGUCUGCGGCCUGUAUGUAGAGGACCUAUGAUGAUGAAUACUGUAUCUCUGUAACAAAGUGUCAACAUCUACUCUGAAAUGUACUUCUCUAUCCGAAAUCAACUCAUGAGGGACUCCAUAACAACAAAUAAUGUGUGAUAUGAUGAAACUAGCGACCCCAGAUGAUGUCAAUCUCGCAUACGAAACAGCCUCCACCCACUUGGUGAAGUAAUCAAUGGCGACCAAGAUGAACUCAUGACCAUUGGAAGACUUCGGCGAAAUCUUCCCAAUGAUGUCAAUACCUCAUACUGAAAAUGGCCAUGGUGAAGUCAAUGCAUAUAACUCUAAAGGUGGCAUGUGAAUGAGGUCCUCGUGUAUCUGGCACUCUAGGCAUCUAUGAACGAACUGGCAACAGUUUGUCUCCAUGGUCAACCAGAAAUAGCCAAUCUUCAUGAUCUUACGGGCUAACAUAUGUUCCCCCAUAUGUGGUCCACAAACUCCCGCAUGGACCUCUCUCAUCACUUAAUUAGCGGAGGUGCAGUCCAAGCAUAAUAAUAACAUCCCAUCGGCUGAUCAUCUGUAUAAUGUCUCGCCACAUAUCACAAAUCGGGCGGCCAACUGUCUCAAUGCUCUCUUAUCCUUGGUUGUGGCGGCCUCAGGAUAUGCGUCAAGUCUCAGAAACUGGUAUAUGUCAUGGUACCAAGGUAAGCCAUCAUCAAACUCUGUCUCAUCAAGCAAACAACAUUAAACAGGAACUGAUCUCAACUCAAUCAGUAAAGAGUGAACGACAAUAUCAAUGGGAAUAUCAAUCAUGGAAGCUAGAGUAGUUAAGGCAUCGGCGAACUGGUUCUAUGCUCUAGGCAGAUGUGUAUAACUCAAAUCAUCAAAUCUCCCAACCAGUAGCUCCAAGUAUGCAUGAUACGACCUAAACUUUACAUCUCUAAUCUUCCAAUGGCCUUGUAUUUGUCUCAACACCAAAUUGGAGUCACCAAACACCUCCAUCUGUCUAAUCCUGAGCUCAAGUGCUGUCUCCAAUCCCAAGAUACAAGCCUCAUACUCAAUAAUAUUGUUCGUGGCAGGAUGUUGAUCCGAGAAUGCCAAACGAAUAGAUCUAGGAAUGUGGUCACCGUGAGGGGAUAUCAAUAAGACACCUAUCCCAUAUUCAGAAUGGUUGGUCGUACCAUCAAAGUACAUACGCCAACCCGACAGACUAGUCACAGUAGCAACAUCCUCAUAUGGGAAGUCAUCAUCAAUAGCUCUGCCAUCGGAAAUCGGUAAUGAGGCUAAGUGAUAUGCAACAAUGCUCCAUCUGAUGGACUUCUGAGUGACAUAAUGGAUGUCAAACUCAGUCAGAAGUACCAACCAUCUCAUGAGGCGACCGAUCAAAGCGGGCCUGUCAAACAAAUAUCUCAGAGGAUCUAGACGGGAUAUCAAGUGCAUUGAAUACUCGGUCAUGUAAUGUCUCAGUCUCCGAGUAGCCCAAACCAAUGCCAAACAGUAGCGCUCAAUCAUGACAUAUCUUGUCUCGUAAUCUAGUAUCCUCUUACUCAGGUAAUAAAUGGCUCGCUCCUUACCCGAAUCAUCAAGCUGAGCUAACAUGCAACCCAAAUCCACGUCUGAAACUGAUAUGUAUAGGAGUAAAGGACGGCCUGGUAUAGGAGGCACCAAAACUAGAGGUGACAACAAGUAUUCUCUGAUCCUCUCAAAUGCGCACUGGCACUGAUCAUCCCAAACAGUAGGUUGACUCUUCCUCAAGAGUUGGAAAAUGGGCUCACAAAUGUCUGUCAAUUUGGCAAUGAAUCUACUGAUGUAUUGAAGUCUACCCAAAAGCCUCUGACCUCUCCCUUUGUCCUCGGUGUAGGCAUGUCAAGGAUGACUCUGAUCUUAUCCGGAUCUACCUUUAUGCCUCUCUCACUGACCAUAUAUCCCAAGAGUUUCCCAAAAGUCACUCUGAAAGUGCACUUUUUAGGAUUUAGUCUCAAUUUGAACUAUCUGAUCUUCUCAAAGAAUCUCUCCAAGGCUGCUAGGUGAUCUACUCUAUCUCGGGAUUUCACUAUCAUGUCAUCUACAUAAACCUCGACAUCCCGAUGCAUCAUGUCAUGGAAUAGAGUAGUCGUUGCUCUCUGAUAAGUAGCUCAUGUGUUCUUCAAUCCGAAUGGCAUGACUCGAUAGUAAUAAGUACCCCACUCAGUAAUGAAUGACGUCUUCUCCAUGUCCUCUAGAGCCAUCAGGAUCUUACUGUACCUAAAAAAUCCGUCCAUAAAGGACAAUAUCGAGUGACCUGUCGUACUGUCAACUAGCAUGUCGAUGUGUGAGAGAGGAAAAUCAUCCUUAGGACUGGCCUUGUUGAGAUCUCGGAAAUCAACACAGACUCUCACCUUGCCGUCCUUUUUGGGAACAUGGACGACAUUAGCUAGCCACUCAGGGUACUCGACCAUUGAUAAAAAUCCCACGCUGAGCUGCUUUUGAAUCUCUUUUUUCACCUGCAAACUGCAACGAGGGUGCAAUCGCCUCAACUUCUACUUAACCGGUCUGACAUGAGGUAGAAGUGGCAAAUGAUGAUGGACUAUGGAUGGAUCAAGGCCUGACAUGUCCUCAUAGGACCAUGCAAAAACAUCCAAAUACAAUCUAAGCAACUAGGCGUGGCCAUCCCUCUCAUUUGUAGAUAAAUCCAAUCCAAUCCAAUCCUUAGCUCCAUCGGUUGGUCUACUGCACCAAAAUCAACAACCUCAGCGUCUCCUGUGGCAGGUGAAACUCUCUGAUCAAUGGGGUCCGAAUCAACAAUAGAAGAUGAGUCAUCAUUUGAAUUGUGUUGUAUAAUCUCAUAAUCUAUAUCAAAUAUCUGUGAUAUGGGUGAAAAUGGUACACAUAAAGUGAUAUCACAAGAGACAGGCAGAUACUCGAAAAUGCUCAAAUCCAUAAAUGAAGAGUCAUGAACAUCGUCAAAACAUGAGAGAAAUCCCGACAAAACAUCAAAGGAAAGAGGUGGGUCCACAAAGUCAGACACUCCCUCAACUAAGCCAACAGGGCCAUCAAAUAAACCAUCAACAACUCUAUCAUCCUUUGUAAACUCUCGAUCAGGGGUAGUCUGGAUAUCCUCAGCAACCUCGAUAGCGGACACCCCGAAAAGAUCAAAUGGUGAAGCGAGCUCAAGCUGAAUCAUCCCAUCAAUAUGGCUCAUGCUAUCGCGAGCAUCUCAUCAACGUACUCGUCAUGCGGGACAACUCCAUCCACUAUGUCUCCGAUCUCGGCAAAUGUCCCAUGCUUGUCGAUCUCAUCCGGGAAAUAAAGCGUCAUAAGGCUUAUACGAUCUGGAGCUGAUGGAGCGACCAACGCAGAUGUUGAAAUGCUAGGAACUCCAUCACUCAACUGUAGCUGAUGGACAAGGCGCUAAAGCUCGACUUCCUGAGUAGUGCUAAGUCCCCUAAUGAUCCCGUUUGAAUGGGUCCGUGGCUCCGACGCCCUCACAAAAUAAUCUGCCAAACUCAUGGUGUACGAGCAAACAGGAUAAUCAAAUAACAUAUGAGUCAAUCGAGCUCUCACCCGCUCUUUGCGUAAUCGCACCAUAUAUUUAUAAUCGACCUUAAUGGGGAUGAACCCGAGUCCGAAUGAUACAUUGUGAUCAGGGAUAGCCAUGAACUCACUAGGCUCGUGUUGACGUCGCCCUAACCCCAUAUCAGGUAAAUAAGAUAUGCUCUUCAUCAUAUUGAGCACCACUGUGCUGUCAUGCUGGUCAAACAACAUAGCCACGAAGUCUAGGCAAAAAUCCUUCAUCUCUAGGGUCUGCACCUCAUCGAACGUGAAUCCAGCUAGAAAUAGGUCGUCAUCGCUGUGAUUGAUCUGAAGAGCUGGCUCAAAAGAAAUAAACAUAUCUCCCACAAACUGCACGGUGACGAUCUGGCCAUCGUGAAUGAACUUCACCUUCUGAUGAAGGGAAGAAUGAAUGGCCCUGGCUCUGUGGAUCCAAGGUCAGCCCAAAAGUAGGUUAAAGGAUGUGGGAAUCCUCAAAACCUGGAAUACAGUGACAAAUGUAGCCGGACCUAUCAAUAGCUCAAUCUCCAAGGUGCCCAUGACAUCCCUCCGAGUACUGUCAUAUGCUCGAACGGUUUGAAUGGAGUGACCAAAAUUAGAGGGUGCGUAGCUAAAGGCGAUGACAGUGGCCAGAUGGCAGAUGUUUAGGGUCGAGCCAUUGUCCAGAAUGACAAACGAGACUUGACAACCUGAACAACCGACAGAUAUAUAAAGGGUAUGUGUGUGGUCUGAACCUUCUGGUGGCAAGUCGUCAUCCGAGAACACUAUGCAUGUGGCUCUACUAGCCGUCACCAUAUGGAUCAACCCCUCCGGAGUGGUGGUAGUCUCAACUCUAAUCUGGCUCAGGGCUUGAAUCAAAGCAUAUUAGUGAGUGUUGGAAGAUGUUAUCAAGCUCCAAAUAGAAAUGCAAGCUGGAGUGCUCUGUAACUGCCUCAAAAUCUCAUCAUCCUCCCUCUUGACCUCCUCCUGGGAGGACGUCCCCUCUAAGGGUCUAGUGGCUGUUGGAGGCUACUGUUGUACCACUUUAUUCCCGCGAAUAACAUACUGCACAUUUGGAGUGUGAGCAUCAUCAACAUAUGGAGUCUGAGAAACAUCAACAUACGGAGUCUGAACCUCAUCAACAUCUGGAAUAAAAACAAACGGAGUCCGAACACUGUAAUGUGGGAAGAUCGAUGACUCGACAGUGGCCGCCUGUACUGAUGCAGCCUCAGGGACCAGUCUGAAUGGUGUGGACAUCCGAUGGCUCAAAAUCACUUUGCCUAUCUCAUAAAUCUCGUCUGAUACUAUGGGCUCCGACUCUGACUCAUCCUAACUCAGCAUGUGGAUGUGAUCGUCAAGCUCAACGAAGUCGAUGAAGUGCAUGCUAUCGGUCGGAGAGGGAACCACGUGUGUAGUAUGAGCCGGUAAUGGGUUUGUGGUUACACUCGGCUAACCCAAGUGGGCCACACCUUGAUCAAUCAGAUCCUGGAUGGCAUGUCUCAGAGUGGUACAACAAUUUGUCUCAUGUCCUGGUCCCUGAUGAUACGCACAGUGUCUAUCCAUGCUGAAUAGAGGCGGAACUGGCUGAGGUGGUGGUCUAAGAGCGAGAGAUGUCAAUAAUCUGGCCUCUGUAAGCUUCUGAAAAGGCUGGCUCAACUACAUGCCUAACUGUGAAAACUGCCUUUGUGUCCUCAAAGCAAAAGGAGCAGAGGUCUGCUGAGUUUUGGGUAUGGGAUAAGAUGUCGUAGGUCUCAUAACAAACUGUGCUACAUAGCAUGGUUGUGCUGUGGUAGAAUAUGAAACAACAGACCUCUCUGUCCCCUAUGCGGUGUGGUCAGGCAGUGCCAAUGUAGAAGGCAUGUAGGUCUGAUCAUAUGAUUAAUGAGGUGUUCGUGGCCUAUACUGCACACAAGGCGAUGGUGGGUAGUAGAGUCCAGAAGUCUGCCCAACUGUCGGAUAGAGUCUAAAAAAUCUCAACCCUGCUGAACCGAUAACACCCACAUCUCCUAGUCUCUGUCUUCCUAAGGGUUUCUUUCCCUUAGAAUUAGAAGGAGAAGACUCGGACCAUAAUCCUCUAGUUAUACCCUCCUCUAUACCAUACAAGGCAUGUACCAAAGAUCCAAAAUCCAUAUGAAGAAAUCCCAUCAAGUGCCUAGCAAAUCGAGGUUGGAAGCUCCUCAUAAUCAUGAUGAUCUGAUCCCUCUCAGACGAUCUAUCAAUAACUUGCGAAAUCUUCUCCCUCCAACGAGAGAUAAAUGAGGUGACCGACUCCUCUGGCCUCUGUCUCAAUGCCUCUAACUCUCUCCUUGAGAUGUUAAUGACAGUAUUAAAUGCAAACUGUCUCAAGAACUCCUGGUUCAAAUCAUCCCAAGUCUGGCGGCAUGAUACAUCCAAUGAAGCAAACCAUUGUUGUGCCACACUACUCAGGGACAUAGGGAAAAACAUAAUCAUUUGGGCUUCAUCCAGUCCAUCGGCCCUCAUAAUCGUACUGUAAAGCCUCAAAUUGAUGCGAGGACAGUUGAUGCCUGUGUAUCUCUCAAUCUCGGACAUCUUAAACUUAGCCGGUAAACUGGCCACUGGUACUCCAUCAAAAUUCUCCCAAGUAAUAGCUCUAUUUAAAGUCCUCAACUGCCUCAACCUCUGCUCAAGGCUAUCUAUGUGAGCAUGUGGGUCCUCUGAGGUCAAGGUGGGUCGGUGAUAGGAGGUGGGGCAACCUCGGUCUGACUAUGCAGGGUGAAAGGUAGCCUAUGGUGCUGACUAACUGGGUAGAGGGGGUGGUGGCACUGUAGGGUCAUAUUGGGCACCAUCCUGAGACGAGACCUAUUGGGCUUGCUGUCUAUCUAUCAUCCGAUCGAGGCUAGCUAUAGCCUCCUGAAUCGAAGCCAUGGCCACAUCAAACUGGUUGCCGGUAAUUAUCUGUGAAUCCAUAUCUAUUUUAUCUGAUCUCUGGUUUAACUGAUCUGAUGCUCUGAUCAAUCUGCCCCUAACUUUGAUCCAAGAAGUCGAACCCAGACCGAACGUAUCAAUACCCCUACAAUAGUGGAAAUACUAGAUAAGAUACAGGAUAAGUGAAACUCCACAAGGAAUGUUUAUCAAAUAUGCCGAAAGGUAACCCGGAAGUAAUCAAACUGAUGUCCAAUCCUGAGCAGAUGUAUGAGAGACUACUAUGAAGGUAACUAAACCUAUCACUACUGAACCGGCUCUGAAGGCCCAUAGAUGCACCCAAGUGUUAGAAAAUGAAAUAUUGAUUGAAAGAUCUAAGGCUCAACCUACAGGGUUAAGGUGGCUCUAAAAAGAAGAUGGGUGAACUUUAAAGGAUCCCUAGCAGAAGCGAUCAUACCCUCCGGCGGUACGCAACCCUUUGCAUGCCUCCAAAGAGACGGGGCGCUUCCAUGCAAGGUGGUCAUCACCUCCACACAUGCACUACCUCGACAUCCUAGGGGGUUUUCCUACAGUGACUUCUCUCAAAACUCUGAACACUCAGUGGUCGACUAGAGUGCACAGUGAAUGGUUCUAAAAGCCCUAUGAAGCUAAAGCAGAAGAGAAAACAUAUUGGCUGCACAAAUAUUCAUGAAACCUAGCUCUAGGCUAUACAGGUCUUCAACGAUUGAACUCCAAUCAACAUCAAUGUGUCAGUCUCCUCUAGAAUGCUCCCAAACAUCGAUAUAGCCCGUCGCUAGACCUUACUCCUAACCUCUAGCUCGGUCGAAGAAACAAGCACAUACAAGGCCUCACGCUUGCAAAAGUGAGAAUCGGAAUGAAGGAAAUGACCAAAACUAAAAGGUUUGAGGUAAGAGGAUAGAUGUGUGGCCCACACGAACAAACGACAUGCAAUCACACAAAGGAGGGCAGUCAUGCAACAUACAGUCAAGCAAAGCACAAAUAUAUCACUCAAGUCCACAUAAGCUAUGACAAUCAAGACGAAUAAUGACAAAGACAGCAUGCUCAAAGAUGAUCAAUACAAUAUACAAGCCAGAGAAUCAACACAUCAAGUCAAAAAACAUACAACAAUGAAUCCACGUAUGUGAGGUGAUCAGAACAAACAUGACAAAAACAGAGUGACUAUGAUAAGAAAGGCAAGAUGAUCAAUCAAUAUAAUCGACACGUCAAUGUCCCAAACAAAUAUAGCAAUGAAGCAUAGGAAAAAUCGCUACAAUCGGAACCCUCAAUCAAUAUAAUCAGCAUGUCAAUGUCUCAAAUGAACACAAUAACCAAGCAUACAUCAAGGAUAAUGAUAUAAAGAGCUCUCAAUGUGCAAUAAAGAGAUAGGUACCCCCUGAUCGACCAAUCAAAUGCCACAUUUGCUUCAUCUUAAGUUCAAGCUUGACUCUUUAUGAUCAUCCCCAGUGGAGUCACCAUUUUGUGGACCCUGCAUUUUUACUCAUGCACUCCCACUCGAUGGUGAACUCGCUUUUUAUUUGAAAAUAAUUUAUUUAUUAAGAAAAUGACUUGGAGUCGCCACUUAUUUUUGUUUUAUUUUUAAAGGGAAAACAAAAUAAGAAAAAAAAAACCCUAAGUGUAACUCCUGACGUGGAAAAACGUGGUUUGUGAAAAACCAAAUCUAAGCUCAGGGGUCAGGUUGCUUAUCGGAAAGGUAUGGUAAAGAUGGUAGCACCCCUCUAAGUCCCUAAAAACGGGUCUCUACUAAUAAGAUGAAGCAAGUGUGACAAUUGAUUGAUUAAACAUGGAUACCGACUAGUGAUCAAAUGCGUGAAAGCGGACAUGCAUGAUAAUAAAUAAAUCAAUAAACACAAUUGGGUACAAGGCGUACCUUAGUCACAAGUUGAGCGCUAUCAUAAGAGACAAGGUUAGUACACAAAUACAAAAUAAUCGCAUGCAUGUCAUAGAGUGAGGCGAACCAAUCAAGCAUAACAAUCGAUCAAUCAAUGAAAAAAUCACAUAUGUUGCGUCCCACCAAAACCCAAUUUGUCUUGCACGAAUUAGUAUCACAAAUUCCAUUGUUUUAGAAUUAUGAAGAAGUCAUUCUUGUUUAUGUAAAAUCAAGAGAAACAUAAGAUUAUUUGAAAACCAGAGUGAAAUUAAAAUUGUUCGAGAGAAAAUUGGAUUUUUGAAAUUUAUUUGAAAAUUGGAGUUCCGGAAAUUAUUUGAAAAUUGGAGUUUUGGGAAUUAAAUUUAAGAAUUGGAAUUUCUAAAAUUAAAGUUGAAAGAAAUCGAAAAUUUUCAAAUUAUUUCAGAAUUAGAGUUUUGGAAAUUAAAUAAAAGACUUGGAACUUUGGAAAUUGAAUUUGAAAGAAAUUAGCAAAUUAUUUGAGAAUCGGAGUUUUGAAAAUUAAAUUUAAGAAUUAUAAUUUUGGAGAUUAAAUUUGAAAGAAAUUAGGAUUCUGAAAAUUAUUUGAGAAUUGGAACUAUGAAAAUUAAGUUAUGAAAAUUGGAAUCUUGGAAAUUAUUUGAAGAUGGAAUUUUUUUAGAAAUAAAUAAAAUGAUGAUGAUAAUAAGAAUGAUAAUAAUAAAUAAAUAAAUAAAUGUGAAAAUUAGAAUUUUGGAAAUUGGAAAAUUGGAAUUUUAGAAAUUGAGAAUUAAAUUUGGAAAUUAGAAUUUUGAAGAAUUAUUUAAAGAUGGAAUUUUAAAAAUAAAUAAAUAAAAUAAUAAUAAUAACAACGAAAAUAAUAAUGAUUAAAUAGAUAAAUGUGAAAAUUAGAAUUUCAGAAUGGGUUAAUGGGUAUCGAAAUGUACAAAGAAUGAGUGAUGGUGAACACGUUAAUGGGUAUGGAAGAUAUGGGAUGGGUAGUGGGAUGUGGUGAGAGAAAUGAUGAUGUAGGGUUUCUUGAAGGUGGUGACAUACGUGGGAUAAAAAAAUGGGUAUGCAUGGAAGAGAGGUUGAAGAUAUGGAUGAAGAUCUAAGUGCAUGGUGGAUAGAGAAAGAAUGAAGGUUAGGUAGUGAAAGAAAUGGAGAUGUAAGAUGGCCAUGCAUGCAUGAGGAUAAACGGGAAAGGAAACGUACAAAGAAGUGAAUGGAAAAACUGAAUGAGAGAAGUAUUGAAGGAAAUGGGUUUAAUGGGUAUGAAUGGAGCUUUAGAGAGAGAGGUGGGUUUAAAGAUGGGUAUGGAGGGUAUAGAGAGAGAAAGGUGGUGACGGGUACAAGAUUAGUGGAGUAUGAAGUUGGAGAUGAGUAGUGAGUGGGAUGAAAAUGUGGAGAAAGAGAGAAAGAAGUGUGGUAUAUGGCAGUGAGAGAAAUGAGUUUGAGAUGGGCAUGGAAAUAGCAGUAAUCCAAGUUUAAAAUUUUCUAGAUUCAAUUUCAUAUUAAAAUAUUUCAACUCUCUUGCAUCAUUCUUUAUAUCAAACAUGAACUUCACCACUUUUUACCACCACUGAGGUCCAGUUCCAGCUCUGAAGAUGAAACUUCCUAUUCUCCGAUGGGCACAAAAUACCCAGAAAAUGAGAGAUAAACACCAAAUACUACCACUGAUCCACCCGAGGCAGAACUUAUAGUGUUAAUAGCUUCAUCAACCUAAACUGCCCAAACAAUGUCAUUUGUAUUCCUUGUCUAGGUACCUCCCAACGAAUUUGAUGUUGAGCUCCCUCAGAAGCACCCUAAUCCAUACGACUAGCCCAAGCAUGACAUUCUCUCCAAUACAAAAGAAUACCCAAAAUGGAGGAUACGGUGAAGGAAAAACAGAGCUUGCACUAAAAGAAGUAAGGCUAUUAUAUUUAGCUCUAUCUCAUGUUGAUUAGUGAGCUGAAUAUAGGUGGAAGAAUCUCAAGAAGUGAGAAUAGGAUUUCUAUUUAUCAAACUCAAGGAGAGAUUAAUACAUCAAGUGUUUUCCAAAGGGAAACAAAGACAUCGGAAUGUGAGGUCCUAACAGAGCAUGCACAUAAAAAAGCAAACAUAACAAAGCAAACAAGUGCCUUGUGACGUCCACACCAAAUCAUCCAAUGAACCCAAAAACUAUCAGGAAACAAAAUAGAACACUCUAAAAUGAGAAAAUACAAAGGAGUGUCGAAAUCAUACCUAGAUCGGACUGACAAGCUCCUCCCUUGCUCCUUCUUCAGUUUCUUUCUAAGGCUCCUCAUUGGUUCACUCUCAAGCUCUCUCCGAAAAAAUCUCCAUCUCCCUCAAGCUCACCCCGUAUCUCCCUACAACAGCCAAAGAAGCUAUUUUUCUCCAUUCUCUAAAAAAAAAAAAUAUUUUUUCUCUCUAAAUCCUCUAGCUAGCUUGCAGAACACGCCUCUUUGUCCCCCCAAGCUAUCCCUACAUCCAUCUGUUUCUAGCCAACUCUUCGUUUGGCUUAGUCUCCUCCAAGAAAACGAAAAAAAAAAAAAAAAACUCUCUGUCCCCUUCCAGCUUGUUCCACAAGCUAUCUAUAUCCCUAUCAAAGCCCACCAAAAUGUUUUUCUUGUCAUGUAACCCCAUUUUCUGUUCAGUUCUGUUUCCCUUCUUCAAAUGGCUAUGUCUCCCCCUUUUUCAAACAACUCACCCAUCAGUCCCUUUUGGCUGCUAAUCCUAUCCAGCCGCCCCAUAUAGCCUAUUCUCGAGUUGAUGAAGAAUGAGAAAAUAAAACAAAAGAAAUGUCCCCCAUUUGAGGGGGUCUACAAAUAUGCCCUUCUUCGGUAGAGUUCACGAGUGUAAGGAAUAUGAACACGAGAGUGGAAAGAAAGUGUGAAAAGUGAGUGAAAUGAAGUGAACUCUACUGAGUAAAAGGAAAGACCCCCAAAGGUACAUAAGUAGAACACAAACUCACUCAGGUCAACAGAAUAACAAAAGGGCUCUAAUCCUCAAGGAAUGAUGACUCUCUCUACAAGUGACUCGAAAAAUUGAUGUCAAAGAUGAGUAACGGUCGAACCACCUUCGAGUACAGGAAAGAAUACGUCCUAAGGGGAUUGCCCUAUGUGAACUACAUGAGAACGCUAAGUGUGGGGUGCCCAACCACAUGACCGAAAUAUGUGUCGCGAACUCAAAAGACUAUGUCACGUGCAGGGGAAAGGGAAGUCUAGAAGAGCAUGAUGAAUAAGCAAUAAGCACAAGGUAACGAGAUAAGAAAAAUGAGGACGAAUGUAAAAUCGUGAAGAUAGAAUGCACAAUGCUAAAGAACAUGAAUGCUAAGAGCCAUGACUACGAAUGACAAAGCUGGAGAAAAACGACUCUGAACACCAAACUGAGAAAAGAUGGUGACUCUAGGUUCGUGAAUGAGUAUGCAUGACAACUCUGAACGUCAAAACUAAAGGAAUAUAGUGGCUCCAAAUACUAAGUUAGACGAUGGCUUCGAAUGCCAAAAGAAGACACUGCUUUGAACGCCAAACUGUGAACGAUGGCUCUAAAGGCUAGGAAUAUUGCUCUGAACGUCGACAAGGUGGCAACGAAUGCCUGAUCAUGACAGAUGAUAGCUUUGAACGCCAAAUUGUGAAAGAGACAAUGACUUUGAACUCCAAACUAAAGAAAAUGAAGGUUUUGAAAGCCGGAAAAUGCGGCUCUGAACACCGAACUAAAAAAGGUAUGGUAGAUCCGAACGCCUAACUAAAGAAAGACAUGAUGACUCCGAAUACAAAACUGAAAACAUGGCUCUGAACGCCAAACGAAAAAAAAAAAAAAAACUGAUCACACUAAAUACUAAAGACGCAGCUCUAAAUGCCCAAAUUGAAUUGGCAGCUCUGAACGCUGGAACUGAGAAGCGAUAAUGACUUUGAACGCCAAAAUUGAGAAUGAUGAUGGCUUUAACGCCAAAACUGAGAAUGAUGAUGGCUCUAAACGCCGAAACUGAGAAUGAUGAUAGCUCUAAACGCCGAAACUGAGAAUGAUGAUGGCUCUAAAAGCAUAAAUUGAGAAUAAUGAUGGCUCUAAAUGCCGAAACUGAGAAUGAUGAUGACUCUGAAAGCUGAAACUGAGAAGCGAUGAUGGCUCUAAACACCGAAAUUGAGAAGUGAUGAUGACUCUGAAUGUUGAAACUGAGAAGCGAUGGUGGCUCCAAACGUUGAAACUGAGAAUAAUGAUGGCUCUGAACACCAAAACUGAGAAGCGAUGGUGGCUCCAAAUGUCAAAACUGAGAAUGAUGAUGUCUCUGAACGCCGAAAUUGAGAAGCAAUGGUGGCUCUGAACGCCGAAACUGAGAAUGAUGAUGUCUUUGAACGCCGAAACUGAGAAGCGAUGGUGGCUAUGAACGCCAAAACUGAGAAUGAUGAUGGCUUUGAACGCCGAAAUUGACAAUGAUGAUGGUGGCUCUAAACGUCGAAAUUGAGAAUGAUGAUGGCUCUGAACGCUGAAAUUGAGAAUGAUGAUGACUUUGAACGCCGAAACUAAGAAGCAAUGAUGACUCUGAAUACCGAAAUUAAGAAGUGAUAAUGACUCUAAACGUCGAAACAGAGAAGCGAUGGUGGCUCUAAACACCAAAACUGAGAAUGAUGAUGGCUCUGAACACCAAAAAUGAAAAGCGAUGGUGGCUCUAAACGCCAAAACUGAGAAUGAUGAUGGCUCUGAACACCGAAACUGACAAUGAUGAUGGUGUCUCUAAACGUCGAAACUGAGAAUGAUGAUGGCUCUGAACGCCGAAUCUAAGAAUGAUGAUGGCUUCUAAGGCCGAAACUAAGAAUGAUGAUGGCACUAAACGUCGAAACUGAGAAGCGAUGAAGGCUCUGAACGCCAAAAAUGAGAAGUGAUGGUAACAACUUUUACCAAGGAUUUGUCCAUAGACUUUAUCCAAUUCUUUAUUUAGCCUAACAAGAAGCUCAAACACUUGUUCCUUCUCCAUCAUCUUCUUAAAAUAGACACCAUUUGCAGCACAUACCCAUUCAAAUGCAUAAAAUAUGUCCAAUUAUUGCCAAAGACCUUUUAAUAUGUUGUAAUAUUUAGUCACACCGUGAUCUCCUUAUUUUAUUUCACGGAUCUUUGAUUUCAACUCAAAGAUUUGUGUUGAAUUCCCAAUAUUGGAGUAAGUUUCUGUAACUGCUUUCUAGAGUUCUUUUGCUAUAGGUAAAAAAAAUGUAAGUUUGACCUAUUUGUAACUCCAUAGAAUUAACUAACCAGGCCAUGAUCAUGGAGUGUUUUAAGUCCCAUGUUUGAAAGCCUGAAUCAUCAUUUUUUGGGGCAUUUGUUACACCAAUCAAAUAUCCUAGUUUCCCUUUCCCACGAAUAAGCAAUUUAACGAAUUGAGACCAUCUAAGAAAAUUCAGUCCAUUUAGUUUAUGAGUAGUGAUAUGUAGUGAAGGAUUAUCACUGGUGCCAUGAGGGAAACUUGAAAUGAAGGUAUUGAUACCUAUUGUGAAGAAUCUCCAAAAUUCUCAUUUUCACUGAUUCCUGACAUCAAAUCCUCCUACUAGUAGCCUAAUAGUUCUACAAAAAAGAUUUUUAGUACUUGAAACCAAAAAUAAACGUAUCACUUUCAGUAGUAAAUUGGCUCUAAUACCAUGAAAGUAUGGAGAAAAAAUUUGUUCUUUUAUAUUUUUGAAUUUUAGGAUUACAAUAUAUAUAUAUAAGACUACUCUUGGGUACAUGCUGGAAAAAAAAAAAAAAAAGUUACAACUGUGCAAAUAAUCACAACCCUAAAAAAUAGAAAAAAAUAAAAAAUAAAUUAGAAACAUUGACUCAACUGAUUCUAUCCCCUAAUUUACUCCACUAAACAAAUCACAAUAUACUUUUUAUAAUAGUAAAUCAAAUCUCCCACAUAUUUUAUGAUUUAGAUUUUCCAUAAGUUCUAAAAGCAUUAGUUCAUUCAAAAUUUGAAUCAACCCCACAAAGCAAAUGAAAGACAUAUGCAUCAAGCAAGAAUACAAGAAAUAUAGUACAAUACUCAACAUGCUUAUCAAACAGUCACCUCAUACCUGUUGCAAAAGAACUAAAAAUUCACGUCUCUAAAAGGAAAAAUGUGAUUGAAGCUUAUGCCACAAACAUGCAGAUGAAAUCCCAAUGAAGACAUUAAAAGAUAUCCCCCAAUUACCCUCAAUACAUUAAGUUAAUAGCCCUUAACAAUCAUAAAUGUCCACAAAAUGCAUAAAAAGUAAAUAAAUUACAAAAAGUUACUUAAGAAAUCAAAGGGCUCAUAUUUUCUACCUCUAGAGCAGCACAUUCACAUUAAAUUAUUAGCAAACCCAAAAGUAUAGCUCAAUAAUCAAGAGGUUGAUCUGAUUGCUGAUAAUAAUCAAGGCCACUGAGAAAAAAUUAAGAUAGGUUUAUAUUCAUUCCAUCAAUAAGGCAUCAAAAAGCUUUGAUCUUGAUUCAUUAUGAUAAAGGAAAAUUUUUUGUAUGAAAAUAAGGUACUCGCUAGAGCAAUCUACAAAAAGGAAAGUGAGAAUGCAGGCACCACAAGGUGUAGGGACCACUCCUAAGUGUACACAUGGCGGCCUCGCAAAGCACUCCUCCUUUGGACUCGUGGCACAUCCAACCCUCUGCCUGGAUGUGCACAUGGAAUGACACGUGGCACGUCCAACCCUUUAUCCGGACGACCAUGGGACUGGUUUGCGAUACACACCUCCCUUGGCAGGAUGUCCUGUCCGGACUCAAUGGUUAGCGUCUCAAACAAGAGUCUUGACUGCGUUUCGCGGGCAAUCAUCACUCAUUUUACCAAAAGCAUGUUCGACAGGACCUUCCUGAGUCACUUUAGGCGACUUGCCAUGACCUACCCUACGCCGCUUGCAGAGCAAAAAGACAAGGAUGAUAGCAAAUCAUCCCUCCAGCAAUCUCUGACAGCCGCCUGCAGGAUAAUGAUGGCCCUGCCACCCUUUAAGCACCAUCAAAAUAGCCAAAAAGUCUUCCUACCAUUCCAAGGGACAAAGCUCUUGGCACUAUAAAAGGUCCCCACACUAUCAGAUAAGGUAAGCAUUCAUAAGGAGAAAGGCCCCAUAAAAAUAUCAAGAUGUUAGAAAGCAAAACUAACAAAGGCAUCGAAGGGUGUGUCCGGACCCCUUGUCUGGACAUCUUUUGCAAGUAAAAGGAAGGAAAUAUCAUCUUCAGUUGAGGAGGCGAGUACAUCAGGCAACUGUAGUGGUUCUGGUAACUCCAACCCUCAACAUUGGCGCCGUCUAUGGGAACUAGCAUUGGCAAAGAUGUCCACACCUUCCAGAAGCCGUUUGUCAGCCAUGGGAGAUGAGGGCCAUUUUGAUUGGCGCAAAACCAUGGAAAGACUACAACUGGAAAGCGAACGGCAAAUGCAAUCCCUGCUCCAAGAAAUAAGGAGGCUUAGAGAAGAAAAUGAUGUGUUACAGAUCCAGGUUUCAUUCUCGGGACCUCCUCACGACCAACGAUCGAGAGGUCAAUGGGCAAACUCUAGGCAUAAGCAAGGGGCAGCAUAUCUUGGAACCAUCGGGGUUACUCCUAAUAUGCGUAAUGAUCAGCCUGGUUAACGACCCUUACCUAUGUAUCAUGCUCCAUAGGAUGAAAGCUCAAACUCCACUCGUGUCUCAUAAAAAAGACAAUGCGACAAGAAACGCCAAUUGUCGGACGCAAUGCGUGCAAGGCUGGGACCACAGGCGCCUGGUAAGAAGAGGCCACCUAUGGUCGCGACUUGGGAGAUGUAUCCUAACCUCCCAAUUGUACCCACUGCCUAUGGCAAUCCCCCACAUAAAGCAGUACGACAAACUGGAGGGAAUUCAUAAAAUGAACUCCCCUCCCCCCAGGCUCCAUCAGUAGGCGGUUGGACGACAUGCUCUCCACGCCUUUUAGCUCGCGUAUUAUCAAUUACGAGCCCUCAAAAGGGUUUCUCGUGCAGAAAUUUUCUACGUAUGAUGGGUCUAGCGAUCUGUUUGAUCAUAUCAUGCACUACCAGCAACUCAUGACUCUCAAUAUAGGGAAUAACGCGCUGUUGUGCAAGGUAUUCCCCUUCAGCCUAUAAAGCCAAGCUCUUUUGUGGUUUCAUCGACUCCCUAUGAAUUCUAUUGAUAACUUCCGGGAUCUAUCAGAAGCUUUUGUGGGACAAUACUUGUGUUUCGCACGACAUAAACAGAAUAUCAGCACCCUGCAAAACAUAAAAAUGCAGGAAAAUGAGUCCUUGAGGGAAUUCGUCAAACGGUUUGGUCAAACUGUAUUGCAAGUAGAAGCCUAUAGCAUGGACGUUGUCCUCCAAAUUUUCAAGCGAAGCAUAUGCCCGGGCACGCCAUUCUUCAAAUCACUCGCUAAAAAACCUCCCACAACUAUGGACGACCUGUUCCAACGCGCGAACAAAUACUCAAUGCUAGAAGAUGAUGUAUACGCAGCCACCCAACAAAUCCUGGUUACCGAACAGCCGGCUAGAAAAGACGCGGAAAGGAAUUCCAAACUUCCGAACCAAUAGAGGCUGCUCGGCUGCAGACAAGGCAAGCAAAGCCACCCGGAGCUGCCACCACUUACACCCCUUACCGUGUCAUAUGAGAAGCUUCUUCCAAUGAUUCCCGAGCUGUCCGACUUUAGGUGGCCCGGACCCAUCAAAGCGGACCCAGCCAAGAGAGAUGACAUCAAGACAUGUGCUUAUCAUAAAGAGCAUGGGCAUACUACGGAGCAGUGCAGAAGUCUCCAUUACUUGGUAGAAAGGCUCAUAAGAGUGGGGCACUUGAAGCAGUACAUCCGCUCUGAAGCCAAGGGAAGGGAGACUUCUUGAAGUCAAGCCUCCGGGACCCCCAGGGCUCUAAUCACCCCUAGGGUCGUAAUCAACUACAUCCAUGGAGGACCCCUAGACUAGGAGUACGACUCCAAACGAAAGAGGCAAAGGUUGUUGCGGGCAGUGUUGGUACGCGAACGUAUCGAUUCCGUCUGGCCUGGGUUAACCGGUUGGAGCGCCCACCUAAUAGACGGGACAACCAUUUUCUCUCCAAUAGACCCCACAUGAAUAUUGCAACCACAUCGUGAUGCCCUUAUCAUAUCUCUUGGGAUUGGAGACUUCGACGUGAGACGGAUCCUAGUCGACCCAGGUGUAGACCCUCUAUUUUGUCCUACUAGCACAUGUUCUAUUACAUGUCCAUUUGAUACUUUACGAUAAUUCUCUGAUGACCCAUUGGGCACCACCUUAGGCCCAGUUUUACACCCUAGGCCCAUUUAGAUACACCUGGCCCGGUAGGUACACCUUCAAGGUCACUUGGCAUGUUUUUUUUAUCACUUGGACAUCUCUUUGGUUUAGUUUCCACUUAAUUCACCUUGACACUUUCCACUUAGGUCACAUAGGUCACUUAGAUAUUUUUUGUGAGCUUAAUUCCAUAAGAUUAGUUUCUUGAUUGAUGGAUAUUUUAGACUAGGUGAGUAUUUAUAUUUUUAUUGUUUUAUUUAGAUUGCUUGAGAUGAAUUUUCGAUGUUUAUUUGUAUCAGCUUGGUAUUUUAUUUUUAUUUUUUAUUUGUGUUUUAGUUUAAUAUUUAGACUAUUGUUACGUGCAUGCGACAUUUAUUUAUUUUUCCUGUUUUAUUUAUUUAUUCAUCCACGUAUUUAUUUUCAGAAAAUUGCAGAUGGUCAGGGAUCUUGUAUUAUUAUCAUUAUUAUUACUAUUAUUAUUAGUUAUUAUUAUUAUUAUUAGUGUUAUUAUUAAUUAUUAGUAUCAUCAUUAUUAGUAUUAUUAAUAUCAUUAGUAGUAUGCACUAACUGUAUGUUUGUUUUAUUAUUAUUACAUUCUUCUUAUUUUAGUUUUCAUUUUUUUUAUAUAGAUUUGUUUACCUUUAAUUUUAUUUUUAUUCUUUUAGUUUAUAAAAAAAAAUAAAGAGGAAAAAAAAAAAAAGAACGGGUGGACUAGGAGGAGAGGCUUUGAUGUGGAAUAGUAAUUUUCUGAAAAUGAAGAGGCUUUGAUCAGGAAAAAAUGAGGGGGAGAUUACAAAAAAUGAAAAAUGAGAGUCGAUUGAGAACCUUAGUAGGGAAGAAAAAGGGAAAUCAAAAGAAGGAAAAAAGAAACUGAGAUGGGAGGUUUUCGAGGAGUCUACAUGGAAAAGAGGCAGAGGCCAUUUUCUAGAGGGAAUGAAGAGUUUCUCAAGAGAGGAUAAAAAGAGAGAACGGAAAAAAAAAAAAAAAAAAAAAAAAGGAAGUGGGAAAGGUUUUGAGGAUAAAAAGAGAGAACGAAAAAAAAGAAAGAAAAAAGAAGUGGGAAAGGUUUUGAGGAUAAAAAGAGAGAACGAAAAAAAGAAAAAAAAAAGAAGUGGGAGAGGUUUUGUGGAAAACAGAGAAAAACUGGAAAAGAAAAAAAAAAGAAAAAAAAAGAGGAGUUUGAGAAAAGUCUGAGAGGAGUAAGAGGGAAGGUUUUGAGAGAGACAGAAAGAAAAGUAAAAGAAAGGGGUGACAGGAGGAAUCCGAGGAAAAAAGGAGUAGUUGGAAACUGAUAUUUCAUACAGCCAGAGAGGACUUCCGAGGUAUGGAUUUUAUUAUUCCUACUGUUUAAUUUGUAUGCCAUGUCACUCUCCUUUCUUUUUCAUGAUUCCUGGAUAUUUUAAAUUGCUUGAGAAUAGACAGUGAAGAAUGCUUGUUGUCCAUGGGAAUCUAGUUCUGAUAUUUCUAUUUACCAUUGUUGCAUGUUUGUUUUUACUUUCACCGUCUUGCUCAGAAAUAUAAUAUGAAUAUACAGUCUUAGUUUGGUUGUUGGACAUUUUUUGGUUUGUGUCUCUAUUUGACCUUGGACUCACUUGCUUCCAUCCUACCAAUCUGAGCUCAUUGGCUAUGACAUGAAACGCUAUUAUGGGUAGUUCAUUCCACCCCUUUCGUUAUGUGCUCUAUUUUCUGGGUGUUUGACCUUUGUUUCCGGAUGUCUGGCCAUGGAGAAUUGGACCCUGUGAAUAUGGGAUGUUGAGAAGUCGUGGAUGAUCAUGAGAUGAUAUCCAUGUAGUGUUUGAACAAGAUGUCUAAACGUUAAGAGCUAGGCAUCGUUUUCUUCUUUGUUGGGGCUAGGCAGGUUCAUGUUCUUCAAACCAACCAUGCGGUGUCCGAACGGGGUGGCUAUACUGUUGGUGGCAGUGGCUAAAAGCUGGAGAUGAAACCCUCUCCAGGGGUCGCUUCAGCUGCGCAUGGAGGGGGCUGCACCUUAUUUUUCUGGUGGUCGGCCUUGGUUGCAGCCCUGCUAGCGGUUGUAGUGACUUCCUUUGCCCUCGCCGGAAUAUAUAGGAUUGUUCGGGUAGUCUUUAGACGUGAGUCUCGCUGGCGAUAGCAAAUUGACUGCUUUCCAGCGUCGCAUGCAAAAGCUCGUCUUUAUGCAGUCCAUUCACUUUACUCCUCUGUCAAAGUCAAAAGGGAACCAAAAGAAAGAAAGAAAACUAUUAAACCAUGUAUUUUAUUUACUUUUCUGGCUCAAAUAGUGUUUUAAAAUCCUUGUUUCUUUUUCUAUUUAAUCUUUUUUUUGUUUUUUUUUAGUCCUCAAAUAGUUUUUAAACUUUCUGGCCCAAAUAGUGUUUUAAAGUUUUUUUUGGCAACAGGCACAAGAAAGUUUUCCAGUAUGCAUCAAAUGACCAUUGUCAAUGUUUAUUAAUUAUUAUAGUAUUGCAUGACAUUCAAAGUCCACUAACUUUUAUUGUUUAAAGAAUUGUUGAUGCAUAGUGGAUAUAGCAUUGUGUGUAGACUUAUAUUAUAAUAUGCAUCAAACAAUGAGGUGCUUAGUUCAUGAACAAUGUUUAUUAUUUUUAUAGGCUCUUGUAUUUUAGGUUCUAAGCUAUUGCAUGUUUAUCAUUUUAUUUUAAGUGUUCGGUUUGAUCUCACGACAUAAGAAUUUUUGUUUUAUUCCUCAUAAAUUCAUUUGAACAUGAAGACAAUUAAAAUAAUUUUUGACAUUCAUUUUAAUUGCUAUAGCUCAAUGGUUCAUGGUAAAUCAAUUUUCUUAAAUUCUCUAUUUUAAUUCAUUUUAGUUUUGGUUAAAUUUGGAAUAAUAGUAGAAAAUUGGAAUUUUUAAAAAUAAAUAAAUUUAGUUUUGAUCAAUUUUAAUAAUAAUGGAAAAUUAGAUUUUUUUUUUUUAAAUAAUACUAUAAAAUAGGAUUUUUUUUUUCUUAAUUUUGGCUAGUUUCGAAUAAUAGGGGAAGCUUGAGCAUUGUUUUUUUUUUUUAAUAUAAAAAAAUUCAAAGUAAGAUUAAUGGCCGGCCAUGAGAUGUUUCAUGUUAGUGGCUUGUUUCAUUGAAUUAAAAAUUUAAGUGAAUAUGGUGGAUCAUGUGUUAUUGUUUUACAUUGUUAUAAAUUUAAAAUGAAAUAAAUGAAAACUAAUAUCCAUGUAGCUUUAUAAUAUUCAUGAAAUUUCGUUUGUUUAUUUAUUAUUAUUAUUAUUAUUAUUAUUAUUAUUAUUAUUAUUAUUAUUAUUAUUAUUAUUAUUAUUAUUAUUCUUCAUUUUCAUAAAAUCAUUUGUUGUUAAUUUUUAAAUAUCUAUAUUAAUUUAUAUUGCUCCUUAAAUUUUUAUUCUUAUUUUUGGUCAAUCUACAUUAAUUUGCAUUGUCAUUAAAAUUAUUAAUUGUUAUUUUGGUUGACCCAUGUUAAUUCUUUGUAGUCCUUUGAAUUUUUUAGUUUUUAAUUUGAUGGCCUAUGAUAAUUUGUAUAUACCUGGGAUUUUUUAAUUGUUGAUUUUAAUAACUCAUGUUAGUAUAUAUUACUUCUUGAAUUUUUAGUCUUUGGUUUGGGCUGAUCCAUGUUGGCAUAUAUUGCUCUUUGAAUGAUUAAUUGAUAUUUCGGUUGAUCCAUUGUUGUUCAAUAGUUUUCUUUAAAUAUUAAGGUUUUAGUAUUUAUUUACCUCUUAUUAGUUUGGGAUUUAAAUAUCCUUAGAUGCUAGUUUUUAUUAUUUUCCAAUUAUUCGUUCUUAUUGAACCUAAAUUAGUUCAUGUUUUUUUAUUAUCUCUAGCAUUAGUUUGGUUGUUCCUCAUUAAUUUAGGUUUUUUUUAGUAUCCCUAGUUGUCGAUUUAUUUUAAUGUUUCAUGUUAGUAUAUACUCUUAAUAAUUUUAGGGUUAGUUUCCCUUAACUAAUUUUCUCAUGUUCUGAUAUUCAGUUGUUAGUUUUCAAUAUUUCAUGUGUAAAUUGUAUUAAAGUAUGUGAGGUUGAGAUUGUUUUAUUAUUAUUAUUAUUAUUAUUAUGUUAUAAGAUAUUCCAUCCCAGGCCCACGCUUUGCAUGGCCACUUUCGGGAUGCGAGUCCCACCGACUACGUACCAUCUUUUUAUUUAUUAUUUUUAUUUUUAUUCUCAUACAUCAAAAAAAUAUAAUUUUCAAAACUUUGAUCUUCACGUUUCGAUUUUCAAAAAUUCCAAUUUUCCAAAAAUUUCUAUUUUCGAAAUAAUUUUCCAAAAUUUCAUAUUUUUAGUUUAAUUUUCCGAAAUUCCAUUCUCAAAGUCCCAAUUUUCCAAAUUUCCAAUUUUUAAAUUUUAAUUUUCUGAAAUUUAAUUUUUCAAAAAUAAUCCUUCCAAAUUUUCAAUUUUUAAUUUAAUUUUUCAAAAUUCCAUUCUCAAAAUUCCCAUUUUCCAAAAUUCAAAAUUUAUUUAUUUAUUCGUUUUUUUUUAUUUUAAAUUAUUUUUUUAUUUAUUUAUUUAGAAAUACCAUUCUCAAAGAGAUUUCCAAAAUUUUCAAACUCAUUUUUUUUUAUAAAAUAAAAUUCCAUACUUCCGAAAUUUCAAAUUUAAUUUUCAAAAUUCCUCUUUUCAAAAUUUUUAUAUAAAAAUGAAUAAGUUUUCAUAAUUCCAAAAUGAUGGAAUUUAUGAGAAUUAAUUCAUAGCAAAAAUUAAUUGGGCUUUGGUGGGGACCCGACAGUCAUAACAUUUUUUCGAAAAUAAUUCAAGUAAGUUGUGCUCUCCAUUUUGUUUGAUUUUGAUUUGGUUUUGUAUGAGAUGUUUUACACUUGUCAUUGUACACUAACCUUAUUUUCAUGACAGUGCUUUAUUACCUACUACUAAGGUACGCUCUCACUCUCACUUCGUUUAUCAUUUCGUCAUCAUGGCUUAUUUUUGAACUAUGAUUAUUUUGGUAUCCAUUGAUCUUCUAGUUAAUUGUCAUGUCUGGUUCACCUUAUUUAGUAUAGACCCAUUUUUUAGGGGCUUAGAGGGGUACUACGGUCUUUAUCGUACCUUCCCAAUAAGUAACCUGAUCCCUGAACCCAGACUCAGGUUUUCUCGCAGACAGCUUUUCCAAAAAAAAAUCAGGAGUCCAUUUAGGGGUUUUAUUCUUACUUGUUUUCCCCUUUAAAAAUAAAUAAAAGUAAGUGGUGACUCCAAGUCUUUUCUAAAAAUCAUAUUUUUCACCCGAAUAACGAAAAGCGAGUCUCGCCGAUCGAGUGGGAACGCAUCAUUAAAAAUGCGGGGUCCACACCAGGCAGCUUGACCGACUUCUUGCAAGCAUCAGUAAUCAAACAAAUGGGACUCGAGCCCUCCAGCAUAGAAAACCCGGGACGGAUUUUGUCAGGAUUCAAUGGAGCGGCAACCACCUUCCUUAGAGACGUGCUACCGGUCCAAGCAGACCCAGUCAUCCUUAACAUACAAUUCUCAAUGGUAGAAGAUUUAUCCCCCUUUAACGUCAUUUUGGGACGCACCUAGUUGCAUUACAUGAAAGUCAUCCCUUCCACAUACCAUCAGAUGGUGAACUUCCUCACCGAAGAUGGAUAGAUCAAUCUAUACGGCAGCUAGUUAGCAACCCGCCAAUGCUAUCAGAGCUGCUCCCCGAGCCUACAAACGCACCUGACCAAUAGCAAUUACAGAACCCGAUGGAUAAAGAUCCCCCGGUGGCAGAUCCCUUGCAAACGGUCCAAAUCUCGGAGAAGAACAAUCAUCUCACCUAUAUUAGUUCCCUCUUGGCACCUGGGGAGGCUGAGAGCAUCGAGGAAGCACUCCGACAAAACCAAGACGUUUUCGCAUGGGCGCAUUUCGAUAUGCUCGGAAUCCAUCCAUCAGUUGCCUCCCAUCGACUUAACAUUUUGCCCUCAUCAAGACCUGUCCGGAAAAAGGUUAGGCAAUUUCACUCGGAUAGGCAAAAGAUUAUUCGGGACGAGGUAGACAAGUUAUUGGAAGCCGGAUUCAUCAGGGAAGUUGAGUACCCAGAUUGGUUGGCAAAUGUGGUGGUGGUUCCCAAAAAGGAAGGGAAGUGGCUAGUGUGCAUUGAUUACACCAAUCUAAACAAUGCAUGCCCAAAAGACAACUUCCCUCUACCGUAGAUAGAUCAAAUUGUGGACUCCACUGCCGAGCAGGGGAGGCUCUCUUUUCUAAAUGCCUUCUCCGAAUACCAUUAGAUCCUCAUGGCCCCCGCGGACGAAGAAAAAACUGCAUUUAUAAGGCCUCAUGGGCUUUAUUGUUACAAAGUCAUGUCAUUCGGACUCAAAAACGUCGGCGCCACCUAUCAAAGACUGAUGACAAAGAUCUCCAGACCCUUGGUUGGUCGCAUAGUGGAAGUAUACAUUGACGACAUAGUGGUCAAAAUCAAAACUAGAGAAGAUCAUACGCACCACCUGCAAGAAGUUUUCCACCUACUAAAGAGAUACGACAUGAAACUAAACCCAUCCAAAUGCGCCUUUGGCGUAAGUGUAGGGAAAUUCCUGGGAUUCAUGGUCACCCAAAGAGGAAUAGAAGUCAGCCUUGAUCAAAUUAAGGCAGUCAUGGAGGCACCCGCCCCCAGGAACAAAAAAGAGUUGCAGCGCCUCACUGGCAAACUCGUCGCACUGGGACGCUUCAUAGCCCGAUUCACUGACAAAUUGCAACCAUUCUUCCUGGUGCUAAGGAAAGCCGACGCGAUUGGGUGGACAGAUAACUGCCAAAGAGCCUUCAAGAAAAUGAAACAUUACCUCACACAACCACCCAUCGUGAGCAGCCCCUAGUCUGGAGAACGGUUGUACAUAUAUUUAGCAGUGUCGGAUUGGGAGGUUAACGCUGUUUUAUUUCGUUGCCUGACACACAAGGAGUAGAAGACUGUUUAUUAUGUCAAUAGAGCAAUGGCCGAUGCAGAGACGAGGUAUUCAAAGAUAGAGCAAAUUGCCUUAGCCUUGCGAAAUGCCGCCCAGAAGCUUCGCCCAUAUUUCCAAGCUCACCCAAUAGUCAUACUUACAAACCAGCCCCUCCGCAACAUCCUGCACAAACUGAAUCUAUCCAGAAGAAUGCUGCAAUGGGCUAUAGAGUUGAGUGAGUAUGGAAUCGAAUAUCGAUUGAGGUUGUCCAUGAAAGGGCAAGUAAUGGCUGACUUUGUGGUAGAAUCUCCCCAACAACCUGCUCGAGACGGGGAACUAGACAAGGUGGAGUAGUGGACCUUACAAGUCGACGGAGUCUCUCGGUCAUCAAGAUCCAGAGUGGGAAUUCUACUACAAUCUCCAACUGGCGAACAACUGGAGCAAGCCAUCCGGUUAGGAUUCCUUGCGUCGAACAACGAAGCCGAGUAUGAAACCAUUCUGUCCGGAUUGGAUCUCGCACUUACACUAUCUGUCUCUAAGCUUAAAAUCUACAACGAUUCUCAACUCGUUGUGAGACACGUACAGGAGGAAUACGGAGCCAGGGACGAGCGCAUGACGCGAUACUUAAGAAAAUUAAGAGACACCCUGCAGCGAUUGGGCGAGUGGACUAUUGAAAAAGUCCCCCGGGCUGACAACGGACAUGCUGACGCCCUAGCAGGGAUAGCUACCUCGUUUCCCAUCAAAGAAGCCAUAUUAUUGCCCAUAUAUGUGCAGACUAAUCCCUUCAUCACAGAAGCGCCCGCUUGCAAUGCUAUUGAAGAAAGCCAGUAAGAAAGCCAGGAAUGGACAAGAGUUAUAAAAGAGUACCUCCGGACAAGCACUCUACCUGAAGAAUCCAAGCAGGCGCAUAAGAUCCUGGUUUAGGCUGCUCGUUUCACCCUGAUCGGAGAAUGUCUUUACAAAAGAUCUUUCACAGGCCCCUACCUUAGGUGCUUAGAUCGCUCGAAAGCCCAAUACGUAUUAGUAGAGUUACACGAGAAUGUAUGUGGCAACCACCUUGGAGGACAAUCUUUAGCGCAUCGGGCCCACUCACAAAGGUACUAUUGACCCACUAUGAAGAAGGACGUUGCGGCUUAUGUCAAGAAAUGUGACAAAUGCCAAAGGCAUGCACCCAUCCCGCAUGUGCCAUCUGAAACGUUGAACCCAAUAACAAGCCCUUGGUUGUUCGCGUAAUGGGGAAUGGACAUAGUGGGACCCCUGCCCGUCGCAGCUGCCCAAAAGAAAUUGUUGUUCAUUGCCACGAAUUACUUCAAUAAAUGGGUGAAGCAAAGGCGUAUGCUAGCAUCAAGGACAAAGAUGUCACAAAAUUCGUUUAGAAGAACAUCAUUUGCCGGUCUGGAAUCCUUUAAACAAUCAUAGCCUACAACGGUCCGCAGUUUGACAGCAUCGCCUUCCGAAAUUUCUACUCGAAACUCAAAAUAAAAAAUUUGUACUCCACACCACGCUAUCCCUAAAGCAAUGGAUAGGCAGAGACAACUAACAAAACCUUGCUAACAACCUUAAAGAAAAGGUUGGAGCAAGCCAAAGGAAAGUGGGUGGAGGAACUACCCGACGUCUUAUAGGCCUACCGGACCAUGCCUGGGCGACCCACGGGUAACACUCCUUUCGCUCUUGCAUACGGCAUGGAUGUAAUCAUCCCCACGGAAAUAGGUUUGCCCACGAUCCGGACUGUUGUACAAGGUUAGAAGAAUGAAAACCUAUAGCUCGAAAGAAACCUAGAAUGGGCGGAUGAAGUGAAAGAAAAUGCGUCCAUCCGGAUGACUGCCUACCAGCAAAGGACGGCUACUCAUUACAAUCACAAGGCACAACCCCGAGUCUUCAAGGUUGGAACACUUGCCACAGGAAAGUUUUCAAAAACACCGUCGAAAAGGGGGCCGAGAAGUUCCAAGCAAAUUGGGAAGGCCCUUACAUUAUCUCUAAAACAGACGAAAACGGAGCUUAUCAUUUGCAAAAGCUAGAUGGAACCAUGUUACUCCGUCCAUGGAAUGUAUAUAACCUUAAGCAAUAUUAUCAGUAAAGUGAAGCAAGAGGUAAGAAAAGAGCGAAGGAAUGCAGUAUUUAUAAAUGGGUGUAAAAAUUGUCUUUACAAAAUUGGUCGGACCAUUCAAGGCAAAAGAGAAAACUAUAAAUGAGAACUGCACAUAAGAAGAAGCAUCUCAUCGCGGAGGGCCUCCUGGUAUCACAUCUUCAUCAUCAAAAGAAAGAAAAGGAAUAUCGUGCAUGAUGUCAUUCUUCUUCAUGCAGCAGCGAUAGCCGAAGAAGUAAAUCUCGUCCACCUACCUUUGAUAUUCCGUCUCCAACUCCUUCUUCUGAGUGGCAAAUCCGGCCUCCAUCUCUUUCCUUUAGGUAAGUAGGCCCGCUUACAACUCCUCCAUUUGCUUCUUUUGGGCCGCGAGACUGGCCCGGAGUUCAUCCAUCUCCUUCUUUAACUGGGAGUUCUCCUGCUCCACCCCCUUGUACUUAGCCUCCAGGGCUUCCUUUUUCUCUUUCAGCUAGGCUGAAACAAAGGAGGGAGAAUCGCCACCCAUAUUUACAGAUAUCCGCUUAGUAAAGGGAAAAAUAUCUGACAUCUUCGUAGAGGGAGCUUCGAUAUCCGUGAAGCACGACACUCGCUUCAGCAUCUCCAUCAUUUCCUUCCAGGUUGGAGGAGCUGCAGGGGCUGGAUUGCCCUUCUCAUCUGGGGCCCCCUCAGCAACAGCGACAUCCUGACCUGCCUCCGUCCCACGAGCUUCCUCCUCUGCAACCGGAAUGUUGCUGGGCGCAGUUGCAUAUGGAUGGAUCACGGCCGCUGCGCUAGGCCCCGCCACGUCGGGCUGGGUCACUGUUGUUGCGCUAGUACCCACUUCAUCCGAAUGGGGCAUGAUCGAUGGAGGAGCCCCCCACCGAAUCCUCCUGAGCCUUCUCCAAACAAGCUCUUUUGGCUGGGAGAGGGACAAUGUCGAUAGCUUCAUGCAACUGUUUGCGAUGCCUCUCCAGAAACCCGGUUCUUAAAUCAUUCAUGUCUUCUUCUUCCUCCGACUCAUUUACAACUCUCAAGCCAAUGAAUUUCGGCUGGGGUUGGGAAGGGCCAGUCCUCGGAUCGACAGUGUCAAGCCGAGGUGAGCUAGAGUUACCCUCAGACGCCUGGGCUAGGUCGCCUAAUCGGUUGGAUGCUGAAUCUGUGGAAGAAGACGAAAGAUCAGGAGUCGGGGACACGAUUUUGAGUGCUUGUGCAAUGGUAUUUUUUUUCCUUCUUCGCAGCUUGGGGAUGAACCGCGGGUGAUGAAUUGCGACCUUUCUCACCAGGCGCUUUCCUUAGCGUCCCCUCCUGUCUCUUCUCCUCCCGCUGAUCAAGGUGCUCUUGGCGUGCCUUCGCGUCUGCCUCGCGAGCCUUUUCAUAAAAGAGGAGGUCCUUCAACACGAGUGUUCCCUAGAAACCAUAACCUUCAGUAGCCGCCUAUGGAGGAUGUUGAGGACGUAUGGUUGAGGUUCCCGGACAACCGCCAAUAGGUUUUGGGCAGAAAGGAGCAUGUGAUGAUGUCUCUCGAUGGUAGUAAUCUCGAACAACUUGUUUAGGCGGUCGAAUGAAGCCUUCUCCACCCACUCGACCAAACAACCCCUUUUAUGUGAACCUACAUCAGCUAGAAUCGAUGAGGUUAGUCAUCUACAAAAAUUAACUCAAGCCUCAAAAUUCAACAAGGAAUGGACACUAAAAGUUACCCCUGCUCGAAAGCUUCAGCGAAUAGUUGGGGUCGAAAUCCCUUUCCGGGUGUUCCGACAAAUCGGCCCAUGGUCCCCUAACCAGUACGUGCCCUUUGGCUCCCCCUUUAUUCAAAUCAGGAAGGUUGGUCACUAGUUGAAGAGACAAAAUAUGGGCAAACAUGCUGAAGAUAUCCUUUUUCCCCUUCUUGAUGGUGUAAAAAAAGUGGACCUCCAAUAGGGAGAGGUCCAAGUUGAAUAGCAUAUUCAGGAUGCUGCACCCCAUCAGCACCCACAUGAUAUUGGGAUGAAUGUAGGCUGGAGGAAUUUGGGUGUAAUGAAUGAAUUCUUUGAAAAGAGACAGAAGAGGAAAAUGGAGUCUAGCAUUGAACUGCUCCUUAGUGAAAUAAAUGGCGUUGUGCCCGACUUUCUCUAUAGACAUGGGGUUCCCAUCCACUAGCUGAACGGAGACGCCGUUCGGAAGGUAGAAGUAGUCGUGAAACUCCUGCUCGUUCAACACUUCAGUAGGCUUCCCUGAAUAAGGGCAUCCGGAUCCACCCUUCCCGCUUGGUCCAGCCGCGCUAGAUGAAGCUACAUUUUUUUUCGCAGGCAUGGUGGAGCGUGGGGCCAAGACAGAACCUGCAUGGUGCAAUGCUGACAGUCAGAAGAUAGUUACCCGGCCCCACCGCCCUGUGGACAACUCCCCAAAAGACUUAGGAUAAUUAACCUGCCCAAGUCAGCAACCUCCCCAAGUUCAACUCCUAAUCUUACCCAAGAGGCGAUUCAGCCAUUUACAGGGACGACAGGGGGGCAACAAAAGUUGCAGUGGGCUCAACAAAACCUUAAAACAACAAAAUAAUCCAAACACCCUUGCACAGACCUAUGCAUUCCCCUUCCGUAAAAAUCAGUAAAAAUAUUUCCCAACCCACCAAAAACCCCCAAACAUCAUCCCUACCCCUCAAUCGCAAACAAACACCAAAGAAUCCAAGGAAAAUCGAAGAAAUAGGAAGCAGAAGACAAAUGGAUGGAAACAGAGAGCAUACCUGGCAGAAGCUUGAAACUAGAAGGAAAGCUAAGCCGCAGUCGCCCAAAUGUACUGGUUGUGAAAUCGCUAGAGGAACACCGCUGACGGAAACCCUAGGAAGCAAUGUUCAGUCACUGCCAGAUGAGGAAGAAAUAGAGAGAAAAUGCAGCCGCGGGGGGUGGAUUUCCUAUUUAUGAUAUGGAACCCCUCGGGACCCCAAAUGACCAGGCGCCCAACCGCACUGCGAUUGAAACGACACUCCGCCUGGUAACCAUCCCAAGGACGGCGGCUCACCAUAAAUGCCUCCCUCCUUAGGAGCCACGUGUCGUGCGACCCCCAAAAAAAGAAAAAAGGAGGCUAAAGGCAUCAUUUUAACCCAUCUUUUCUGCCCGAGCAAAAUAGCCAGGUUAAAAGGGGGGCAUUAUAGGGAUCACCCCUAAGCGUACAUGUGGCAGCCUCGCAAAGCACUCCUCCUUUGGACUCGUGGCACGUCCAACCCUCUGUCCGAAUGUGCACAUGGAAUGACAUGUGGCACGUCCAACCCUCUAUUCGGAUGACCAUGGGACUGACAUGCGAUACACACCUCCCUUGGUCGAAUGUCCUGUCUGGACUCAGUGGCUAGCGUCUCAAACAAGAGUCUUAACCGCGUUUCGCGAGCAAUCAUUACUUAUUUUACCAAAAACAUGCUCGACAGGACCUUCCUAGGUCACUUCGAGCGACCUGCCAUGACUUGCCCUACGCCGCCUACAGAGCGAAAAGACAAGGAUGAUAGCAAAUCAUCCCUCCACCAAUCUUUGACAACCACCUGCAAGAUAAUGAUGGCCCUGCCACCCUCUAAGCACCUGAUUACUACUCAAAACGUGCUAUUUGAUAGCUUAUAAUUAAUCCUUUUAAACACUUUUGAGUAGUAGUUUUGGCCUUUUAAUUCAAUUGGCAUGUUAAGGACCCUUGAAAGCAAUUUUAAUCACUUUGUGUAAGUUUUGGUGUUUUUGUUAGUAAUUUGAUCACCAAAGCAAUUCAAGAUUGAGAAGAGUGUUGAGGAAUCUUAGGCAAAGCUUGGAAGUCAUUUGCCAAGAGUAAAUCCGGAAUGCAAGGAGAAAAAGUAAAGAGAAUCUGCCAUGAAGCAUAUUCUUGAUGACAGUCGUAGCAGCCACUUUUGGAGUACUUUCUGAAGUCCAAUUGAUGCAUGCUAUAUACCAUUUCAAAGCUCAGGAAGUCAACAAUCCAAUGCUUCAAACGGUGCACAAUUCGGAGUUGAAACGAAGAAGUUGCAGCCAUUGCAAGCCAAUCACUCCAAGAUGAAGGAAGCAUUUUCCAAAGUGUUACGAAAUCACCCUUUUGUUGCAAAGUGAUUUCGCAGCCUUUUUGUACAGUAGGGUGUAUUUCCUUCUGAAGUUGCCCGAUAUAUGCCGCAAGCUGGAAGCUGAGAACCUCAAGGUGGAAGCCAACUUCGCAGCCCUGCGAGAAUAGCUUUUUGUUGCGAAGUGAUUUCGCAGCCCUUCUUGAGUGUCUGCGAAAUCUCGCAGAUACCAUUUUCUCUUGCGAAAUGGUUCCUGGAGCAUCCCGAUAUUUGCUAUCGACAUUGGGAGAUAUUUUACAUCAGAUUUUUGUUGUCUAAAUCCCAAAAUACUCCUUGUAAGCCACCAAUUACAAGAUUCCUUAGCUUUUAAGUUAGUAAAAAGAGAAAAUAUCUAUGUAAUAAUUAGUUUUAUAUUAUGUUCAUAUAAAUGCCUCUCGGGAGCUUGUUCUCAGGGAGGAGACCUUUUGUAAAGUUUUGGGAAAGCAAGUAAAGUUCAGGUCUUUGUAUUGCCUUACCUUCUCACUUUGUAUUUUUAUUUUCUUACUAAGUUAUGAACUCUCUGAGGAGUUUUCCCCAGAGAAUGAGUAACUAAACCUCUAAUUCCUUGGAGCUAAGGUUGCCAGGGAAGGUUCCAAGUGCAAGAAUGCAAAGCUUUGUGGUUUUAGCAAGUAAUGAAGAGGAAGUGAAAUCCUUUAGUGAUUUCUUUGUUUUUAGUUAACUUAAAACACCAUAGAGUCACCUGGGCCAACACUUGGUAAGGCAAGUGAUUUCCAACCAUGGAGAUGCACUAGUUUACCCCUUGCGAGCCUUUGGGAGGUGACUUUAAGGUAGGAUUUUCUGGAAUUGCCAACACUUGGUAAGCUUUUGGACUCCAAGGAGACAUCCAUUAGUUAUCUCUUGCGAGCUUAAGAAGGGAAGUUCAAGGUUAAAGAUCACCUUGAAUGGUUAAGGCUUAGUGAGAGGCUUAAAUCAUUGCAAAGUGCAUCAGUGAGAGAAUUAAAGUUGAAAUCUAAUUAAAGGAUGUAUCUGUACAACACCGGUUAGAGAAUUAACUAUAUGUUGAAUCUCUAACGCGAGGAAAUGAACCAUCUGACCGGAGCUAUGUCUUUUGCAUGAGGAACCACCCCAGUGAACCUAAAUCUCCAAGGAAUGUUUUUCUUCCUAAGCUAUUCCCAUUACUUAUUGUGUUAGUUAGUUUAAGUCUAAAUCUUUACCAAUCAAAGUUUGUGUUUUAUUUCUUAAGCUAACCUUGAAAUGAAACAAAGCCAAUUCACUUUGAAUUGGUAUCAUUGAUAGCUUGCUAAUCCUUCCCAGUGAACGAUCCUAGAGCCGCUAUACUAUAGUAGCUUUUUCUUUGCUACCCUAGUAUAUGGUGUUAUAGGUUAUAAAUUUUGUUGAUUACUCCCUAAAUUAAGGAGCACCAGCUGGACUUGAAUCAAUUGAGACACUAAUUGGGCAUGAAUCAGCACCAUCAUGACAGCUAAAAAGUCUUCCCACCAUUCCAAGGGACAAAGCUCCUGGCACUAUAAAAGGUCCCCACACAGUCAAAGAAGGUAAGUAUUCAUAAGGAGAAGGGGUCCAUAAAAAUAUCAAGAUGUUAGAAAGCAAAACUAACAAAGGCAUCGGAGGGUGUGUCUGGACCCCCUGUCCGGACAUCUUUUGCAGGUCAAAUGAAGGAAGUAUCAUCUUCAGUUGAGGAGACGAGUACAUCAGCCAACUGCAGUGGUUUUGGUAACUCCAGCCCUCAACACAAGGGACCUGGUUGAUUGAGAAUACAAGGGGGAAAUGCAAAAAUCCAGGCAACUCGUGCAUUAGAAUAGCGAAGUUUUACAGGCUGAUGCAAUAUCAAAAUCAUGUAACAAAGAUCACUAGAAUAUACAAGGACUAUGACUGGAGAGAACAAUUAAUUAUUGCUCCCUCCCCAUAAAACCAGAACGACUGCUUUUAUCAAACUAAAUUAGAUCCAUAGUUUUGAUACGCUGUGUUAAAUCUCCUUGUAUACUUAUGAGCAAAACCAAUAGCAAAUAGAAAGGAUUCGAUUUGAUAGCUAAUUGUCACAGGAUGCUUCAAAUGACCCUCCCCAUGGGCUUAUAUAGGAGGAGGGAAGCUUCUGGAGACUCCUGGAGCCAUCUACACUAAGCUAUUGGUGGGAAGAGUGUGGAAGGUUCUAGAAAUGCCUAGAGAUGUCCACACAUCUCUACACUAUGGUGGAAGGCAUGGGAGGAGUCCAAGACUUUCUAGAGACUUCUAGGAAUCUCUUGUAUAUUCUUGUACAUAGGGUUGUACAUAGAAUAGGGUAGGAUGUUCUAGAAUAUUCUUGAUUUGUAAGGAACCCUCCAAGGUUCUAGAGAGUUCCCUUGGUGCCUAUAAAUAGGUGAGGGCCUCAUUUGGCCAAGGCACCACCCAAAUCACUUCCUAACCAAGCAAGUGAGCAUCCAAGCACUUGUAAAGGCUUUCUUGAGAUAAUAAAGCUUCCAUUCUUUAAGGAGUUGCCUACCAAGCUUCUUAAGCUUUUGAGUUGCAAGUGUCUUAGCCUAGCAAGCUAAGCAUUGGGGAGCAAGGCUGACUUAGCAAGAUCAAGCGUCUUGGCUUGUCUAAGUGCCGCACGAGCUUAGUGAACGACUAAGUCCGUGACAAGUGGUAUCAGAGCGCGGUUACAAGGUGGGCAUAACAAAGGAAGCAUGUCGGGCUCUAACGUGGAGGAGACUAGUGAGCAAACCCGUGGGAUGGAGACUGAGCCUACUGCACGGGGCAGGGGUAGGAAGGAUAAGUCUCGUGAUGCCGUUGCCAACAUGGAGGCAAGGUUAGCCAAGGUGGAGCUAGCCAUGGCGGACACUCGGGAGGGGUUGGAUUUGAUCGAGCAAGGCAUGGAGAAGGGCUUAGAGGAUCUAAGGGAACAGAUCCAAGACCUUCGCGAGGGGGUGCUAGUCUCACAGGUUCAGCCAGUGUCGCACGAGGAGUUUGUGUCCUUCCAAGGAAAGGUCUUGAGCAUGCUUGCUAGCAUGGAGUCAAGGAUAGAGGCCUUGGCCACUCGAAUGGAGUCCCGAGACCAGGAAGUUAGGCAGGAGUUGGCCAUCUAUAAGGCUGCUGUGUCGGCACGGGUCAUAGCCACACAAGAGGCAUCUAAGGUGGAGGUGCCGAAGCCACAUAGGUUUAGUGGCAAUCAGGAUGCCAAGGAGUUGGAUAACUUCUUAUGGCAUAUGGAGCGAUACUUUGAGGCUAUCGCAUUGACGGAUGAGGCGGCUAAGGUAAGAACUGCAACCCUCUACCUUACUGACACAGCUACUCUAUGGUGGCAUCGGAGGUUUGCCGAUAUGGAGAAAGGCAUUUGCAUCAUAGAGACGUGGGAGGACUUCAAGAGGGAGAUCAAGAGGCAGUUCUACCCCGAGGACGUGGCUUACCGGGCUAGGAAAAACAUGAGGCGUCUCAAGCAUGCAGGCUCGAUACGCGACUAUGUCAAGGAAUUCUCUUCGCUCAUGCUUGAGAUUCCUAACAUGACUGAGGAGGAGUUGUUAUUCAACUUCAUGGAUAACCUGCAAGGGUGGGCCGAGCAGGAAUUGAGGCGUCGAGGUGUUCAAGACUUAGCCACUGCCAUGGCAGUAGCAGAGUCUUUAACGGAUUAUAAGAGGGGAGACUCCUCCAAGGUUGAGUCUUUGGAGGAUAGCCACGCCAUGGGUGGGGGAGACGAGGUUCCAAGGGACCACAAUGCUCCUAAAAAUGGAUCAGGCAAGACGUCUAACGUCCGAGAAGGAAGGGAUAAGGCGGAAAGGAAGGAGUUUACGCUUAAAAUCAAAUGCUUCCUGUGUGACGGUCCACAUUGGGCACGGGAUUGUCCAAAGAGGAAGGCGCUCAGUGCCAUGAUCGAGGAGAGGGAGCAGGAGGACGAAGCACAUAUGGGCUCAAUGCAGCUAUUAGGUGCCCUCCAAUUCAACCCGAAGCCUAGUACGCCUAAGACCUCCUUACUAGCAGGGGUGCAAGUAAAGGAGGAAAAAGGGGAGCGAGCUGAGGUAGCCCGCACACACAUGGAAGAGGUCACCAAGGGAAAGGUGAACUCAAUGGGUAAGAGGAAGCAGCGCUCUAAGCAUCGGAAGCGCACGGGUCUGCAUCCAUUUGAAGCCUCAUGGGAGAAGGAGGUGAAGAAUAUCCUGGCUGAACGGGUCACCAGGAGACAAGGGGUCCCUCCUAUGAUAGAGUAUCUAGUCCGAUGGAAAGGACUACCUAAGAAGCAGGUAAGUUGGGAACAUGCGGAUGCCUUGAGAAAAUUAUGGAAACACAUCGAGAAGUUUCAGAAUGAGGCAACGACGAGGACGUCGACGGCAUCGGUGGGGGAGAGUGUCACAGGAUGCUUCAAAUGACCCUCUCCAUGGGCUUAUAUAGGAGGAGGGAAGCUUCUGGAGACUCCUGGAGCCAUCUACACUAAGCUAUUGGUGGGAAGAGUGUGGAAGGUUCUAGAAAUGCCUAGAGAUGUCCACACAUCUCUACACUAUGGUGGAAGGCAUGGGAGGAGUCCAAGACUUUCUAGAGACUUCUAGGAAUCUCUUGUAUAUUCUUGUACAUAGGGUUGUACAUAGAAUAGGGUAGGAUGUUCUAGAAUAUUCUUGAUUUGUAAGGAACCCUCCAAGGUUCUAGAGAGUUCCCUUGGUGCCUAUAAAUAGGUGAGGGCCUCAUUUGGCCAAGGCACCACCCAAAUCACUUCCUAACCAAGCAAGUGAGCAUCCAAGCACUUGUAAAGGCUUUCUUGAGAUAAUAAAGCUUCCAUUCUUUAAGGAGUUGCCUACCAAGCUUCUUAAGCUUUUGAGUUGCAAGUGUCUUAGCCUAGCAAGCUAAGCAUUGGGGAGCAAGGCUGACUUAGCAAGAUCAAGCGUCUUGGCUUGUCUAAGUGCCGCACGAGCUUAGUGAACGACUAAGUCCGUGACAUAAUGGUAUCAAUACCAUAUAACCAACAAAUUAAACGCAUACCUGCUAUGAUUGCCUUCAAAAGCUUUUCUCUUAUGAUUUUGGGUGCAAGAACUAACAAGAGAAAGUGGCGCCUUCAAGGUAAUGAAUUGUUUACUUCUGAUCACAAGGACAAAAAAAGAGGGGAGGGAAAGCAGCACACAUUCUACACCUAAAAGUCAAAUGUCUCAACAGUGCAAAUUACAAAGACACAAGGGGUGAUAUUCGAGCAAACAGACGCUGACAUCAAGCCCAACUAAGACAACACUGAUCAUGAUCCAAGUGGGCUUAAUCACAAUAAAUCAAAUCCUACAGUAAUAAACUCCAAUAUCAUUACCCAAUUUGACAGUGAUAGACAAAAAUUUCUGGAUCUUUUUUUCUCUUCUAGGUAACCGAUUAAAUUAUUGUUACAACUCUUAGUACCAAUUAACAUAGAAGGCAAAGAAAGAGGACAUGAUGCAAGUGAAACAAUUAAUAUCCAGCUCAUAUUUGUCCCAAGAAAAAAAGAUAAAUACACAAACUCAGCUAGCAUCAUGACCAAAUAGGAGGACAAAGUACGCAUGAGAGCACGCACAGUCCUUUAACAUCUUUUUACUUUGGCAUUCUCCUUUUAAUUGUGAAGGGCCGCUCUUGGCAUCAAGUUGCAAGUACCGUAAAACUAAAACAAACAAAUGAUGGAAUAUGGAGAUGGUAAGAUGGUAACAGAGAAUAUACGUAAAGAACCACUAAACUCCGUAUCUCUAACAUCUCACCUUUAAUACGAUGGAAUCUGGAGAUAGUAACAAAGAAUCUACAUAAAGAACCAAUAAACUCCAUAUCUCUUAACAUCUCACCUUUAACAUUUAUCAAUCAUAUCUGUUGGUUUCCCUUUUGAUAAUUACAAAGAUCAAGGGAUUCAAAUCCCUUGACUAAAACAAAUUUUUACAGUACUAUCAUAUUCCUCAAGUAUCCAUGCUAUGAAGAGAAACCCAGGUGCUUGGGUCUUUCAAGAGGAAGCUUCUCCAUCUCAAAACUCGAAAGUUCAGAAGUAGAUGCUUCUUCUCCAUUGGUCUCCAUUUUAAGCUCAUUUAAAGCUCUCUUUGCAUAAAUAGUAAAAGCAACUGUGGUGAUGAUAGCAACAAUGAAGGAGAUGAUGUUGUAUAUAAUUUCCAACGUAGUGAGGUGUUGAUUACCAUACUGCACAUCUGCUAACGUCCUUAUUAACCGACCACUGCACAAAAUUACCACAUGAAAGGAAGACAAGAAACAUGCAUUAGCAACAGCAAGCACUUUAGUUUCAUUAAUAAACAUUAACCCCCGCCAAGUCAUUAUUUAGGUGAAUGAAUUUACAAAUAGAAUCCCAACCAGGAAAUUUAAGUCCUCUGGUUGUGAUUUAUGUGUUUUCCAUCAAUCAGGUAAAUGGAGAACAAACACCACAAAAACUAAUUGUCCUCGUGUUGUCUAGACCUUUGCCAUCCACUGACUUCCUGGAAAAGGGAGAUCUAUUGUUGAUUUAUAUUAUAGAAAUCUGGGCAUUGUAGUUAAGUCCUUUGGUUGAGAGUUUUGCAUCUCA